UUUUUUUUUCUUUUUUCUGAAGCGCGCUGUAUAAACAGUGACGGAUGGAGUAGUAUGAGCGGAUUCAAAGAAGAGCAUAUUGAUGGUUGCUUCUUCAGAGCAACUUACAGUGGGAAAGGUGGGGCUUAUGAUUUGACUUCUCAUUACUCACUAUUAAUGCGGCGCAACGACCGGGCUGAGUCUCCCAUGCGGUUGUGCACUACCCCCUCGGUUCUUAAAUAUACUCCGGAGUAUUUGUCUUUCUAGAGAUUGCAAUGAGUGACAACUCAAAUAUUUGUCUUUUCAGAGAUUUCAAAUGGACUGGCACAUACGGAUGUAUAUAGACAUAUUUUAGAGUGUAGAUUCACUCAUUUUGCUCCGUAUGUAGUCACUUGUUGAAAUCUCUAGAAAGACGAAUAGAAUAUUUAGGAACGGAGGGAGUACACAUACGAAGCAAAAUGAGUGAAUCUACACUCUAAAAUAUGCCCGUUUGAAAUUUGUAAAAAGACAAAUAUUUAGGAAAGAAGGAGUAUAAUUUUGUGCAUGGCACAUGGACCCGGAUGAUGAAGAGGCUUCUGGCAAUGCUAUCAAGCUUCCAUCAUUUGUUUACAUAAUUGACGUACUAUACAAAUAAUUUUCCAGUGACAUGAAAUUGUACAAUGGUGUGAGCUUUCAGCUUUUGUUUCGCGUGUCUUGCCAUCGAUGCUCUUUCGGAAACAAUAAAAAACUAACUUCCUUGCUAAUGCAUGUCAAUUAUUAGCAGAUCAGAGCUAAUAAUUACAUCUCAACUGAAGACAGAGUUGUGAGAAGGUGUUAAAUUAAAAUUGAUCCAUGCUUUCAUUGGCAGCAACGUCCCCCCAGCUCUGUCUAAAUCAACAAGGCAUGUUGGGAAAAAAAGUAGCUGUCUAGAGCAUGCAACAUUCCGAUCAUUUUGUGCAGUUCCACUAAAAUAGAGCUGAGCGUCCCUGUUCCAAAUCGGGACGUGCUGCCUCGGCGCCGUCAAACGGAGAAAUGAUGCACUUCAUCCCUUUCCCCCGGCGGACGGGAUGCAGCCGGAUCAGUGACCAACGGUGAGAGAGAGAGAGGCCACCACACUCCCUUUCCCCUGGCGGACGGGAUGCGGCCGGAUCAGUGACCAACGGUGAGAGAGAGAGAGGCCACCACAACCUUGUGUGAGAUACUCUGAAGAGCGACAAACCAGGCAGGCAGGCUCCAUUGUAUAUAGUGAGCGGACUACCUUUUUCUCCAUAAAAAUCGUUUUAUAUUCUGUGUACGUGCCAUUGAGCGCUAUAACUUUAUUUAAAAAUAACGCGGCAACGCAUCAAGUCGAACUUUGUUUCAUGCACGCGUGGUACACGACCUCCCUAGGUAAACAACCGCUACAGGCGUUCAAAUUAUCACGUGGGCUGCCAUUUCGUAAAGAAAUGAGCUCCACCGUGUACCCGCGCGGGUGUGGCUGGGCACGAAGCGUGAGUACGUGCAUGGUGCACCUAUUCUCUUCUUGUAUAUGUACACCACCUACGUGGGGUUGUGUGAGAGAGAUACAAACCUAGAGAGAUAUAGUGUGUGGGUUCUNNNNNNNNNNNNNNNNNNNNNNNNNNNNNNNNNNNNNNNNNNNNNNNNNNNNNNNNNNNNNNNNNNNNNNNNNNNNNNNNNNNNNNNNNNNNNNNNNNNNNNNNNNNNNNNNNNNNNNNNNNNNNNNGCGCGCGCGAUCGAUAAAGAGUGCCAUCGAAUUUGUGUGUGCCCACGUCAAAGAUAUAGAGUGGCUGGCCUACUGGAACGUGAGAUGGGACAUGUGCAGUUUGUCUCUGUGGCAUGGAUACCUACCUGCAGCGCUCGACUAUCGGUGUGUGGUGGGGGAAGAGGGAGGCCCAAUUAACUAUAGAGGUACAAUGGCUGGUAUAUGUGUGGAGGAGGAGAGAGGCCUACCUCAUGUAUUAAGGAGAUCGAUUUGCCUCAUGUAUUAAGGGAGAUCGAUCGGCAUCCAUGCAUAUGUGCAGGAGAGGAAUAAGGUUGGGAGAGAGACAGAGCUAGAGUGUUGGAGGGGGUGGUAGUGGAGUUGCUUCUAACAAAUGGUGGGAUAGGCUUGCUAGACAAACGGAGGGCACGCCCGCAAUAUCAAUAAGAGAGGAGAUGGCUGCUUGUUGUCUGUGCACGUGCGUGUGAGAGACGGGUCAGGAGGCAUGCACGAAUAAUGAGGGGGGACGAUGUGGCUAUGGUAAGCAGACGUAACUACAUAGGAAGAUCAAUCGCCCUUUGUUAGAGAAAGGGGAGACAUAACUUGUGAGGUACGUCGAUCGAUGGGGGGGUAGUUAAAGUCGAUCUAGGUAUAUGUUGGGAGAUCGAUCGGUAUACAUGCAUGUGUGUGUUAGAAGCAAAUGAGGCACGAGGAGAAGGAUAGAGAAAGAGGGAUGCAUGUAGGAGGUGGUACGAGAGGCAUACUAUAUCGAGGGGGAGGAGUGUGCGAGUACGAGAACGAUGAAAAGAGUGGUGGGAGUGAGGCAUGGACGGUGACAAGGGAAGAGGGGAAGCUUGUGUUUGUGCUAGGCACACCUGGCUAGAGAGGCAUAUCGAUCGAUGUGUGCCGUAAAGAAGGAGCUGGGGGGCCUACACACACCGUGGGUGAAAGACCUAAAGUGAAAAGACGAAUUUGCGUGAUGGAGCUAGAGAAUGCUGAGGGAGGGUGAGAGGGAUGCGGGCGUGUGCAUGCACAAGAGAAAGUUAGCGCUAGCUACAAAGAUAAGAGGGUUGUGUGGGUGUAAAAGACGAAUAGAGAUCAUAUAUACUUCACUAUAAAAAGUGAAUUCGGAUAUUUGAAGAAUUUAUCAUAGUGUUUCAAAUCGACGCAUGUGUGAAUAUAUAUAACGGUGAUACACAUGGUGUGGUUAUGAACAUGUUAUACUACAUUUAAUAUAUUUUAUCUCUACUCUUAUGAAAAAACGGAGUUGUUGAUGAUGGUGUGCCUGCCAUCCUGCAUUAUAGGCCGUCUGAUUUAUAUCUGGCGGAUAGCAAGGAAACUAUGAUGGUUGAAGUUGGCAACAAUCAUGAUUGUAGAUUCUUAUUGAAAUAGAGAAACGAAUUCAAAUUUACUUCGAAUUGCAGCGGUAGUAUAGACAUUUGGAAUGCACUAAAAUGUUGGUAUGAGUAGGUUACAUGCAUUAUACAGCAAGCGAAAAAAAUUAAUCAAACAUAACAUGGAUUCAUACUCCCUCCUUCCAUCUAUAUAGGGCGUAAUGAGAUUUUUAAGACCGCCUUUGACUAUUGACAAGAUUAAUAGUACAUGACAUGCACAAUGUGAAAAUUAUAUCAUUGAAAGAACCUUUCACAGACGAAUUUAACGGUGUGCUUUGUGUAAGUUGCAUGUCAUAUAUCAUUUCUCUAAUAUUUGGUCAAAAUUAGCAUCGAAAAACGCAUUAGGCCCUAUAUAGAUGGAAGGAGGGAGUAGCUUUGAAUAGCAUUUGUAUAGUAAAACGGGGCAAGACUCUCUCUUUGUGUGGUGUGAAUAGUUUUCUCUUUGGUUGAGGGAAGUGCGAAUUGAUUUGGUAUGUACAAGUACAAUAUUACUACACGUUAGGCUUGUCCCUAAAAUUCAACCCGCAUCUUGUUAUAUCCCGAAAAUUCAGAUAUCGUGCUCCCAAAACUGGCGCCUUCACAACCCGCGCCUUGCUAUCCCGAAAUUACAACGCGCGCCAAAACUCCCUCUAGCUGCCAAAUCCCGACACGCGAAAUCCCCCUUCUAACCCUGAGCCCAAAGGGCCGCUAGUUCAAAUCGAUGGGGGGUACUUUUGUAACACACCCUACAUUUUGGACAAGCGCGUCCCUAAGUCAUGCUUCACCCCCUCCCAUCGCCCCCUUUUCGCCAUUCGAAAUCCCAGGCCGCCAUAACCUCUCCGCUCCAGCUGCGAAACCCCACCCUCCUCCGUCCGCCACGUCACCUCUGCCCAGCCGGAGCCUCUUCCCCGACGACAUCGUCCACCGCAACAGCUCGACGUCCCUCGUCCACCUCCCCGAAUGAGGAUCCGUCGUCCAUCUCGCCGUCCCGCCGGUUCAGCCGCCCUGUCCUCCACCUCCAAGGAGCUGCUCCGACGAUCGCCUUGUCUAUCGCGGCUGCUCCAUCCCCACAGCGCCGCCUUAACCUGCUCCACCGGAACCGCAGCAUCCUCACUGACUCCUCGGACGAAGCCGAGGCCUACUCGGCGCCACCAAAGAGGUUGUACACUCAUCACAUCGCACCUUCUCCUUAACUCGACCUCCCGGCGCCGACGGUGCUCCAUCCCGCACCCCAUGGAGCGGCUACCUUGAAGCCGGUGCCGCGGGCGACAUCUCCACGGCGGCUCUCCCCCAGUGCGAGGCCCCUUCGGCGGCGGCGUCCAUACCAGCCGGAUCUGCUGCUGCUGCUCUGGCUCUCACUCGCUCGCUCGCGCUGCUGCAGUUGCUCCGGCUCUCACUCGAUCGCUCGCUCGCCCAGUUGUUGCUACUGCUCUCCCCCUUGCCCAUGCUGCUGCUCUGCUCCGAUUAAGCCACACUUCAGUCGACUGAAUCAACUUUUGGGUUAGUCGAUUUUCAGGGGUUGGGGGGCUCGUCGGAGUUAAGGAAGAACCACCCGCAGUGGGGACGGGGGCUCGCCGGAGAGGUACCGCACUAUCUAUCUUAGGGUUCAGGGUGGGGGCGGGGGGCCUAGAGGGCUGGCCGGGGCGAGUUGUUUCGGGGCGGCGAGGCGGCGCUGGGGCUGGCGGUUCGGCCGGUGGUGGCUGGCGGCUCAGGGGGGUACAGGUUGAAGAUGAACUGCAGGCCCUCCCUAAACUACAUGUCAAGUGCCUCUCUGCUACCAUUGCGUUCAGUUUCGACAGUAGCAUUCAGAUUCCACAGUAAGUUUCAGUUUUGACAGUUAAGUUCAGAGUCAACAGUUUUUACCUCAUCUGUUGUAGUCAGGUGGUUUUUGGUGAUGUUAAUUUUACAUCCAUUUUACAUCAUCUAUUGGAGAUGCUAUUAGAAUCCCACUUGAGAUUGACGAUGUCUGUCUUGUGCUGCUUCAGCCUUGACGUCAUACGGCUCACCGGAGCUGCUCCAACGACAGAAUGAUCCAUCACAACAGAGCAGUGCCCUGGACGCCGUCUACAGAUUCCUCAGAUCUUCCUCCACACCUCCGACAGCCACCUCUGCCUCAACUGCUUCAGCGACCAACCCAAUGAUGCUGAGGUCGACACGGCUACGACAAAGAGGUUGUACACUUGUUGCAUCACUUAUUACUAUACAUUCACGUCGAUCCAUUCGGGCUAUUUUGGUUCAACAAAAAAACGUCGAUCUUCCACUGGUUGUUACCAUCGCUCUAAAUUUCUGCAUGCUCUCCUUACAUAAUCUCACCAUAUUUUUUUCGUAUGCAUGUCAGAUAUUGUACACAGUCAUGCUGAACAUGUAGAGAAAAAGAGAAGAGUUUUGCACGGCAAUACAAUGUCAUGCAGACAUCGCUCCAUAGUGGGUUCAAUGGCAAACCCUCCCCACCCCUCUCCAGAUUGUAAUCCAGAGGAAUAUAUCUGUUCUGAGGCGGAUUCAGACGCCGCUGACCACUCCUAUUUACCCCCCAAGGUGUUUGCUCUACCUUGGCAUGAUGAUGUUAGUCAUAUCAUGCAUAUGUUGCCUUGCAGUGCCUACUUUUGACAUCAUAUAUGUCAUCUGCUUAGGUUUAGACAUGUUCUGUAAUGCCACCUGUUUAGUUUCUAUAUCAUAUAUGGGAAUUAUGCAAUCUCAUGUCUUUUAGCCAGCCAUAAUAUAUGUGAAAUGUGCAAUGCCAUCCUGUUUAACCAGGCAUCAUAUAUUUGAAUGAUAUCUUGCCCAUCCUUUUCUUCAUUACAUUUCCAUUUGUCGACCAUGUUUGUACAUUAAACUACUCUUUCUGUGAAUCAGCCAUUUGGGUGGGAGAUGGAAAAAUCUGGAGUGAAAACAAGGCCUUCAGAGCAGACAGUGCUACCUGUCGAAGCAGAUCUCUUGUUGGGUCCCGAUAGCUCCUCAGAGAUGGAGAGACAGAUGACCAGUCCUAUUCCCCAACUGAGGUGUAUGCUCUAACUUGGCAUGGUUAUACUGCUCAUAUCAUGCAUACGGUGUCUUGCAUUGCAUAGUUUAGACAUCAUAUACACAAUAUUCAACACCAUGUUCUUAGUUCAGACAUCACAUCGAAUGCCCUCUGUUUAGCAUAUAUAUCACAUAUGUAAAUUAAAUGAUGCGAUCCUGAUUACUUAGAUAACAUGUAGGUGAAUUAUGUCAUGCGAUCCUAUUUAGUUAUUCAUCAUAUCUUUGAAUUAUGUUAUGCUAUGCUAUCCAGUUUAGAUAGACAUCAUAUAUGUGAAAUUAUGUCAUGCUAUCCGUUUUAGUUAAACAAUAUACAUGUCAACUAUUUCAUGCCCUCUUUUUUCCACACUAUCUAUUGCAUCUGUCUCUCAUACAAUGUCUGUACAUUCAACUAUGUUUCCUGUUUAUCAGCCAUUUGAAUUGGAGCGGGUGAUGCCAGUAUCUAGCGGACUUAAAACACGGUCUUCAAAUAAUACAUAAUACAGUGCUACCUCUUGGUGGAGAUAGCACCCCGGUUGUACAUGCACAAGAACCAGCCCUACCACACAUAACCCAAACUCUCGCAGAUUGUACCCCUACUACGAUGGACAGAGAACCAGCUUCACCCAAUCUAACCCCAACCCCAGCCGAUAGUAACCCAGUUCCUGUUGACACAACACCAUCUCCACCACAGAGCUCCCAAACAAGAGCAGUUAGUAAGGCAGCUCCAGUGCCCAAAGGGCCAGUACUAUCACGGCGAACCCCAACUCCACCAGUUAGUACGCCUAUUCCGGUGGAGGAAGCACAACCAGCUAGUCGUAGUUUAGCAUCUAUCGCAUUUGAUGUUGUUAAAUCGUAUGUGCGUAUCUUCCCAUCUUGGAAAUAUCAUACUGAAGAUGAAGGAAAAUGCCAGUUGCAGGUGUUUGUCCAGGAGUUAUGUGUAAGUAAUGUUAUUCAUGGCAAUUACUUUGCUUCGUCCCAUACAUCCUACCUCCAUGAUGGUUAUAAUACAGCAAAUUUUCCCAUUUUUCUCUAUAGAGAAGGACCGAUUUGGAAACUCGGGAUGAGGUAACCUGUGUUAAUACCUCUGCUAUCUUCAAGAAUGCUUGGUGGCAGUAUCGGAAUUACCUGAAGAAAACGUACUUCACCGGCAAAGAAACUCAUCAAAUUCCCUUACGUUCUCGUGAGACACAUUUACUGGACGAUGACUGGGAACGCCUUGUUCUGUACUGGUCCUGAACCAAGAAUGUGGUAAGGUCUAUGAGCUCAUUUUCUAUUUUUAAAUAUUAUAUUCUUGCGUCUUACUGUACUCUGUUCAUGUAGAACAAGUGCCUAAACCUGAAGAACAACUGUUCUAAUUUAAGAUUCCAUUGCUAUCAUAGUUCAAAAAAGCGCUAGGCGUUAAUUGUGCGUUUUGCCACCGCCUUGCGCUUUAAUGACCAAAGCGCAUGCUUAUGCGCAGUUAUGCACAGAUUAUGCGUAGUUAUGCGCAAUGCGUUUUGCCAAUGCCUAGAGCCUAGGCGCGCUUAAGCGCUCGCUUAGGCGCGCCUUUUUUUAACUAUGAUUGCUUUGCUCUUGUAUCACUGUAUUUACUCAUACAAACUUACUUUUAAAUUGAAGGAUCCAAUCGAAACUCCAAUGGCACAGCAGGUAUGUUCACGCAUGUUUCUUUAACAGGUUUGCUCUUAUCAAUAGCUCUGUUGAUUUCAAUUUCAAUUGUGUAUACAGUUGAAUUUCAUAUCAUGCACAUUACUAGCAUCACAACAGAGCCAAUAGUGUUGUUGUACAUGUAGACCCAUGGUACCCAUCUGAAAUCUUGUUGUGCCGUGUAGUUUCCCACGCAUUCUUUCACUGCUGCUUUGUCUUGAAUCGAUAUGAUUUGAACCGUGUCUCUAUUUUGAUUUGGCAAGACAAUGCAGUGACCAUAGGACAUAGAUAUAUGUUUGUUUGAUGCUUUUAUUAUGUACUAGUACUUGGCAAUAGAAGACUUGGUAGUUUAAUCCUUCCACCUUACUAAUGAACUGGUUCACCGAAAUGAGUUUCAUAUACUAGUACAUGCUAAACUUGUUAUGUGUCUGCUUGUUUCUUCUUUUAGAAUGCUGACAGAAUAUUGGGGAAGAGUGCCUUAUUAAGCAAUGGUAAAGGAAGUAAUGCAGAUAAGGUUCAGGAUAGUGACACAUCCUUGUUGGUCUCCAACAAAGCUGAUAAAACAACUAAGGAAGACUAUCUUGAAGACAGCGAGACAACCCCAAAGUCCUGUCUUGGUUUAGUGUUCGAGUUACUGGCCACUACCGCUUGCACAAGCUAUUCAAACUCACUGUCUGAAUCAGUUCGGUUUCUUGAGUCUCAACUACAAGCUGAAAGACAUCGAUCAGCUGUGCUGUGACAAGAAGCGGAAGGACUACGGAAGUCCCUGGAGCAUUCAGAUGCAUACUUUCUGGUGCAACAGCAAGCGUUGGAGGAUUUUAGCGCCAAACAGGACAAAGCUAAUCAGCUUGCUAAGCUUAUUGCCAGCAUGGUGGAUACCCAGGAUAACGUUUCUUGAGAUCUUCUAAAGUUGUUUCAGUUAUGCUCUUGUUUUGCUGCCGCGUUUAUUUGCACUGGUGGCCAAUUUUGACGGCCAGUGUAUGUAAUGUGCUACUUUGUUCCCUAUAUUUGCACUGGUGGCGAACUUUGAUGCCCAGUGGAUGUAAUAUGUGUAAUAGCGGUAAUAGGCUAGCGUUAAUUGCUUGCUUAUUUAUUUCCUUAUUGUCUUGUUUAGUUGUUUGCUUGUAGUCACUGCAGUUCUUUUUCUGUUUUUUCUAGUGGCCACAAUAGCCUAUUUUUGGUAACUAGGCCAAAAUAAUCAUGGCAACACACGGACUGUUGUAACCAUGGGCCUCCUGCAGGCUGUGAUCCAUGGGCCUUCGUCCGGCCGUAGGAUCCAUCGGCCUUCUAUACGGGCCUUAGGGUCCAUGGGCCUUCUACGGGCCGUAGGGUCCAUGGGCCUUCUACGGGCCGUACGAUCCAUGGGCCUUCUACGGGCCGUACUAUCCAUGGGCCUCAUACGGGCCGUAGGAUCCAUGGGCCUUCUACGGGGCGUAUCAUCAUUUCACCAAUCAUGGGUCGUACUAUUCAUGGACCAUAACGGGCCGUUAAUAGGCCGUAUUUGAUAACUCUAUGAAAAUAGCCCAACGGGUUUUUUGACAUGAAAACGGCCCAACGUAUUAACGGUUCGCAAACGGGCCGACUGUAACGACGGGCUGAAUUUGGCCCACAAGCAGAAAAUGACAGUAACGGGCCAUAUGUAACCGAAUGCUGCAAAUGAGGCCAAGAAUCAAUGGGCCAUGAGAAGGCCGAAAGAUAACUUGGGCUGGAAACGGCCCAAUGGAAUAACGGGCCGUUAAUGGGUAUAAAGUGAUACACUGUUCAUUACGGGCCAGUUUCACCACGGGCCGUUAAUGGGCCAAGAGUUACAAAGGUCCUCAUAUGGGCUGAAAGAAGUCAUGGGCCACACAUGGGCCGGAAGUUAAUACGGGCUGAAUCAUAUUGGACGGCCCAGAUGACGCUACUGGGCCUAAUUCGGAUAGGGCGUAACGGGCCCUGGGUUAGCGGGCUGUAAAUGGGCUAUAUGCGAACAGGCCGUUAACAGGCUUUCCGUGGGCCGGCCUGCCACCUUUUGACCAAGUCAAACGGGCCGACCUUUUCACAGGAAUGGGCCUCUGUUGGGCCAUGCCACGUGUCGCCGUAUCAUAGGCGCCUUCGGUCCAAUGAGCAGAUGACAUCUGUCCCAACGGUGAGCCAACACGUGUUUCCUCCAGCCAAUGAUGAUUUUACACGUGGAAAAUCCCCAUUGGUCGGGGCUGUUAACGGGUUAUCGGAUCCAAAACCCGACCCGAUAGCUUACCGACGUUCCGUUACGGUGGAUGCCACGUGUCGGUCACCCUUGACGAAAGCACUUCUGUGACGCGCGAUUUAUCGUCAUGGAAGUGGACACUUCCGUGAUGAUAAUUUUGGUAAUGUCAUGGAACACUUCUACGACAGCACAGGUAUGACUAUCUUGAUUCUGUCAUAAAUUUGUCAUGGAUGUACAUGCAUGACAAAAAGCGCGACCUACUGUGACAAACACGUAUCAUCACGGAAGUGUAUUUUUUUUGUAGUGCGAGUUCUUGGUAUUUGAUCCGAGUCUGGCCAUUGGCCUAUACACACUAACCAACUAGGCGGGAACAGUUAUGGGCACUCGACGUCGUGGUAUCAGCCGAAGCCUUCUUGACGUCAGCGACCGAGCGGCGCGCGCCGGGUUGGACCGCGUAACGCAACUUCCUUUGUAAUGGAGGUUGCUAGGUCUGCUCACCGGCCGCCCACGCAACAUGCAGGUGUGCAAUGUGCGACGGGCCCAGCCCCUGCGCCACAGGAUUUAGACCGGCGUGCUGACCUCUCUGUUGUGCCUAGGUGGGGCUGCGACGUGUUGAUCUUCCGAGGCCGGGCAUGACCCAGGAAAGUGUGUCCGGCCAAAGGGGAUCGAGCGUGUUGGGUUAUGUGGUGCACCCCUGCAGGGAAGUUUAUCUAUUCGAAUAGCCGUGUCCCUCGGUAAAAGGAUGACCCGGAGUUGUACCUUGACCUUAUGACAACUAGAGCCGGAUACUUAAUAAACACACCCUUCCAAGUGCCAGAUACAACCCGGUGAUCGCUCUCUCACAGGUCGACGAGGAGAGGAUUGUCAGGUAGGAUUAUGCUAUGCGAUGCUACUUGGUGAACUUACCAUCUACUCUCUUCUACAUGCUGCAAGAUGGAGGUUGCCAGAAGCGUAGUCUUCGAUAGGAUUAGCUAUCCCCCUCUUAUUCUGGCAUUCUGCAGUUCAGUCCACCGAUAUUGCCCCUUUACACAGAUACCCAUGCAUAUGUAGUGUAGAUCCUUGCUUGCGAGUACUUUGGAUGAGUACUCACGGUUGCCUUUCUCCCUCUUUUCCCCUUUCCAUUCUACCUGGUUGUCGCAACCAGACGCUGGAGCCCAAGAGCCAGACGCCACCGUCGACGACGACUCCUACUACACCGGAGGUGCCUACUACUACGUGCAGGCCGCUGACGACGACCAGGAGUAGUUUAGGAGGAUCCCAGGCAGGAGGCCUGCGCCUCUUUCGAUCUGUAUCCCAGUUUGUGCUAUCCUUCUUAAGGCACACUUGUUUACUAAUGUCUGUACAUAGAUAUUGUUGCUUCCGCUGACUCGUCUAUGAUCGAGCACUUGUAUUUGAGCCCUCGAGGCCCCUGGCUUGUAUUAUGAUGCUUGUAUGACUUAUUUUACUUUUAGAGUUGUGUUGUGAUAUCUUCCCGUGAGUCCCUGAUCUUGAUAGUACACAUUUGCGUGUAUGAUUAGUGUACGAUUGAAUCGGGGGCGUCACAAUAUGGCUCCAGAUAGUUGACUUGCGGACGGAAUGGGGCUGUUGGCUUGCCGUUCUUGGGACACUAUCUGGCGUAAUGUCCGGUUUGCCCACAACUGAAACAUGAAUUGUUGCGCUGACAAUCUUCACGUAUCGGGCUGGUCACGAUAUUCUUGACUUGAGUGGUGGUCUUGUUGACAUUUUGCUGCCAGUUGGGUUUGUACUCAACCUGAGUCUGUUGCCACGUACGAGCCUUCUGCACGGGUUGCAUAUCCUUCUUAGGCUCUAAUUUGCGCUUGUGGUAAUUAUUAGCUGGCCUGUUGUCGUGCAUGAGCUUGUGUUCCCGUUCUGCGAUGAGAGUCUUGUUCACCAAAGUUUGGAAGUCCGGAAAAUCAAACAUGCUGAGAGUGCACCUGAGAUGCUGAUUCAGUCCUCCAAGAAAUCUGUCGACCUUCCGUUCUUCGGUGGCCACAUCAUAGAGGGAAUAGCGGGCCAAAUGGUUGAAUUUAUUCAGGUACUCACUGACUGACAUGCUUCCCUGAGUGAGAGAGAGGAAUUCGCGUUGCUUGAUUUUCAUAAUUCCGGAGGGAAUAUGGUACUUGCGGAAAUGAUCCUUGAAUUUAGUCCAAGUAAUUUCCUCGUCCGCGGGCCACAUGGCCUUAGCAUUAUCCCACCAUACUGCGGCAGCUCCUUCAAGAUAAUGCGUUGCGGAAGGAACCUUGUCUCCUUCUUCAGUGCGAGCAAUUUCCAGUUUCUUCUCAAUAGUCCUUAACCAAUCAUCAGCGUCCAAUGGAUCAAUAACUUGACUGAAACUGGGAGGUUUGGUUCGCUGAAAAUCUGACAGCUUGGAGUAAUGACCAUUCUGAUGUCCAUUCUGCCCAACCAUAACUUGCACACUUUUCAGUAGUUCCAUUAGAUUGUUGUUCCUUCUUUCUUCAAACAUUCACAUGAUUUGCUCAGUAGAAGGCGGAUGUGGCGGUGGAGGCGGAGGUGGCUGAUACGGCUUGGGGGAAUGUCCUGCAUGUCUUGCGGAGCGACGAACAGGGACAUCCUCACAAGCUUGGCUGCUCUUGCCUCCCCGUGGCAUCCUAUUAUUUAUUUUCCCAAUGCAAAGCAACCGCGAUGAGAAAUAUCCAAAAAUGGGAGGAAGGCCAGUGACAAAACCAGAAGAAAACAGCGAAAGAAACCAAUGCAAAUAAAAGACAGUUCCAACAUAAUUAUACAUAGACUCAACAUGAAAGUUAAACAUCAUGACAAGGUCACUACCCUCAUACAUGAAACUAAGCAUCAUAACACGUGCGUCUACAUCCAUACAUCAUACUCAUGCCAAUGAAGAUACUCUAGCGAUCUACUGCUCGGAUGGUGCUGCUGCGGGCUCCUCUCCUGAGCCGGACCCAGAUCCUGAACUGAUAGUGGUGACUUCCGGGUUAAGAGAGACGUGACGACGCUGCCUCGAGGACUCUCCCUUAGGGGCAGGUGCGGGAUGGGAUCUAAGCAUAGGAGCUACAGCAGUAGCGACAAGGGAAGCCCACGUAGCAGGAGCACUGCGAGGGGUUACUGCCAAAGGGGUAGUGGUACUCUGAGUGGUGGCAGAGGCUGGAGGAACGUAUGGAGUGAAACCGACAAUAGGGAGAGGGUUCCUAUUUCGAGCAGCGGCGAGAGCUAUCCAGGCACGAGUUAGCUCCCGAGCUAGCUCGUAGUUCAGGAGAUAAGUGGCAGUGAUCUAAUGGGAAAGGUGGCUAGCAGGACGAUCCCACGCCGGAUUAAUCAAAGGAAAGCGGAUACGUCCAUUCUCGUGCAGAGAUGGGUAGUAAAAGAAACCUGGGUGGGUGUGCAUGCGAACCUCGUUGUAGCACAAGUCUACAAGAGCAUCGAUUGCAGCAAACUGGACCGCCUGAGACGGCGUAGAAGCGAGACCACCCUUAGUAGAAUGUGUUGGAAAUAUGCCCUAGAGGCAAUAAUAAAAUGGUUAUUAUUGUAUUUACUUGUUCAUGAUAAUUGUCUGUUGUUCAUGCUAUAAUUGUAUUAACUGGAAACCGUAAUACAUGUGUGAAUACAUAGACCACAACAUGUCCCUAGUAAGCCUCUAGUUGACUAGCUCGUUGAUCAAUAGAUGGUUAUGGUUUCCUGACCAUGGACAUUGGAUGUCAUUGAUAACGGGAUCACAUCAUUAGGAGAAUGAUGUGAUGGACAAGACCCAAUCCUAAGCAUAGCACAAGAUCGUGUAGUUCGUUUGCUAGAGCUUUUCUAAUGUUAAGUAUCAUUUCCUUAGACCAUGAGAUUGUGCAACUCCCGGAUACCAUAGGAGUGCUUUGGGUGUGCCAAACGUCACAACGUAACUGGGUGGCUAUAAAGGUGCACUAUGGGUAUCUCCGAAAGUGUCUGUUGGGUUGGCACGAAUGGAGACUGGGAUUUGUCACUCCGUAUGACGGAGAGGUAUCUCUGGGCCCACUCGGUAAUGCAUCAUCAUAAUGAGCUCAAUGUGACCAAGUGUUUGGUCACGGGAUCAUGCAUUACGGUACGACUAAAGUGACUUGCCGGUAACGAGAUUGAACAAGGUAUUGGGAUACCGACGAUGAAUCUCGGGCAAGUAAUGUACCGAUUGACAAAGGGAAUUGUAUACGGGAUUGAUUGAAUCCUUGACAUCGUGGUUCAUCUAAUGAGAUCAUCGUGGAACAUGUGGGAGCCAACAUGGGUAUCCAGAUCCCGCUGUUGGUUAUUGACCGGAGAGUCGUCUCGGUCAUGUCUGCAUGUCUCCCGAACCCGUAGGGUCUACACACUUAAGGUUCGGUGACGCUAGAGUUGUAGAGAUAUUAGUAUGCGGUUAACCGAAAGUUGUUCGGAGUCCCGGAUGAGAUCCCGGACGUCACGAGGAGUUCCGGAAUGGUCCGGAGGUAAAGAUUUAUAUAUGGGAAGUCCCAUUUUGGCCACCGGAAAAUGUUCGGGAUUUUUCGGUAUUGUACCGGGAAGGUUCUAGAAGGUUCCGAAGUGGGGCCCACCUGCAUGGGGGACCCACAUGAACGUGGGUAGUGGGGGCAAGGCCCCACACCCCUGGUCAAGGCGCACCAAGAUCCUACCUUAGAAGGAAUAAGAUCAUAUCCCGAAGGGAUAAGAUCAAGAUCCCUAAAGAAGGGGGAUAACAAUCGGUGGGGAAGGGAAAUGAUGGGAUUUCUUUCCCCCACCUUUGCCAACGCCCCAAUGGACUUGGAGGGCAAGAAACCAGCCCCCUCCACCCCUAUAUAUAGUGGGGAGGCACAUGGGAGCAGCACCCCAAGCCCUGGCGCCUCCCUUCCUCCCGUGACACCUCUUCCUCCCCGCUUGCGCUUGGCGAAGCCCUGCCGGGAUCCCGCUACUUCCACCACCAUGCCGUCGUGCUGCUGGAUCUCCAUCAACUUCUCCUCCCCCCUUGCUGGAUCUAGAAGGAGGAGACGUCCCUGCUCCGUACGUGUGUUGAACGCGGAGGUGCCGUCCCUUCAGCGCUAGGAUCAUCGGUGAUUUGGAUCACGACGAGUACGACUCCAUCAACCCCGUUCUCUUGAACGCUUCCGCUCACGAUCUACAAGGGUAUGUAGAUGCACUCCUCCCCUCUCGUUGCUAGCAUCUCCUAGAUUGAUCUUGGUGACACGUAGGAAAAUUUUGAAUUUCUGCUACGUUCCCCAAAGUGGUAUCAGAGCCAGGUCUAUGCGUAGAUUCUAUGCACGAGUAGAACACAAAGUAGUUGUGGGCGAUGAUUUGUUCAAUUUGCUUGCCAUUACUAGUCUUAUCUUGAUUCGGCGGCAUUGUGGGAUGAAGCGGCCCGGACCGACCUUACACGUACUCUUACGUGAGACAGGUUCCACCGACUGACAUGCACUUGAUGCAUAAGGUGGCUAGCGGGUGUCUGUCUCUCCCACUUUAGUCGGAUCGGAUUCGAUGAAGAGGGUCCUUAUGAAGGGUAAAUAGCAAUUGGCAUAUCACCGUUGUGGCUUUUGCGUAGGUAAGAAACGUUCUUGCUAGAAACCCAUAGCAGCCACGUAAAACAUGCAACAACAAUUAGAGGACGUCUAACUUGUUUUUGCAGGGUAUGCUAUGUGAUGUGAUAUGGCCAAAAGGAUGUGAUGAAUGAUAUAUGUGAUGUAUGAGAUUGAUCAUGUUCUUGUAAUAGGAAUCACGACUUGCAUGUCGAUGAGUAUGACAACCGGCAGGAGCCAUAGGAGUUGUCUUAAUUUAUUGUAUGACUUGCGUGUCAAUGAAAAACGCCAUGUAAUUACUUUACUUUAUUGCUAACCGUUAGCCAUAGUAGUAGAAGUAAUAGUUGGUGAGACAACUUCAUGAAGACACGAUGAUGGAGAUCAUGAUGAUGGAGAUGAUGGUGUCAUGCCGGUGACGAAGGUGAUCAUGCCGCGCCUCGAAGAUGGAGAUCAAAAGGAGCAAGAUGAUAUUGGCCAUAUCAUGUCACUUUAUGAUUUGCAUGUGAUGUUUGUCAUGUUUACAUCUUAUUUGCUUAGAACGACGGUAGCAUAAAUAAGAUGAUCCCUCACUAAAAUUUCAAGAGAUGUGUUCCCCCUAACUGUGCACCGUUGCGAAGGUUCGUUGUUUCGAAGCACCACGUGAUGAUCGGGUGUGAUAGAUUCUAACGUUCGCAUACAAUGGGUGUUGACGAGCCUAGCAUGUACAGACAUGGCCUCGGAACACAAGCAAAACACUUAGGUUGACUUGACGAGCCUAGCAUGUACAGACAUGGCCUCGGAACACAAGAGACCGAAAGGUCGAACAUGAGUCGUAUAGUAGAUACGAUCAACAUGGAGAUGUUCACCGAUGAUGACUAGUCCAUCCCACGUGAUGAUCGGACACGGCCUAGUCGAUUCGGAUCAUGUAUCACUUAGAUGACUAGAGGGAUGUCUAUCUAAGUGGGAGUUCAUUAAAUAAUCAGAUGAACUUAAUUAUCAUGAACAUAGUCAAAAGUUCUUUGCAAAUAAUGUCGUAGCUUACGCUUUAGUUCUACUAAGAUAUGUUCCUAGAGAAAAUUUAGUUGAAAGUUGAUAGUAGCAAUUAUGCGGACUGGGUCUGUAAACUGAGGAUUGACCUCAUUGCUGCACAGAAGGCUUAUGUCCUUAAUGCACCGCUUAGUGUGCUGAACCUCGAGCGUCGUCUGUAGAUGUUACGAAACAUCUGACAUACACAUUUUGAUGACUACGUGAUAGUUCAGUGUGUGAUGCUAACGGUUUAAAAUUGUGGCACCAAAGACGGUUUUGAAACGUCGCAGAACAUAUGAGAUGUUCCAAAGACUGAAAUUGGGAUUUCAGACUAAUGCCCACGUCAAGAGGUAUGAGACCUCUGACAAGUUUCUUAAGCCUGCAAACUAAGGGAGAGAAACUCAAUCAUUGAGCAUGUGCUCAGAUUGUCUGAGUACUACAAUCACUUGAAUCGAGUGGGAGUUAAUCUUCCAGAUGAGAUAGUGAUGGUUCUCCAUAGUCACUGCCACCAAGCUAUUAGAGCUUCGUGAUGAACUACAACAUAUCAGGGUAGACAUGAUGAUCCUUGAGCAACUCGCGAUGUUUGACACCGUGAAAGUAGAAAUCAAGAAGGAGCAUCAAUUGUUGAUGGUUGGUAAAACCACUAGUUUCUAGAAGGGCAAGGGCAAGAAGGGAUACUUCAUGAAAUGGCAAAUCAGUUGCUGCUCUAGUGAAGAAACCCAAGGUUGAACCCAAACCCAAGACUAAGUGCUUCUGAAAUGAGGGGAACGGUCACUGAAGCAGAACUACCCUAGAUACUUCGUAGAUGAGAAGGCUGGCAAGGUCGACAGAAGUAUAUUGGAUAUACAUUAUAUUAAUGUGUACUUUACUAGUACUCCUAGUAGCACCAGGGUAUUAGAUACCGGUUCGGUUGCUAAGUGUUAGUAACUCGAAAUAAAAGCUGCGGAAUAAACGGAGACUAGCUAAAGGUGAGAUGACGAUAUGUGUUGGAAGCGUUUCCAAGGUUGAUGUGAUCAAGCAUCGCAUGCUCCCUCUACCAUCGAGAUUGGGGUUAAACCUGAAUAAUUAUUAUUUGGUGUUUGCGUUGAGCAUAGACAUGAUUGGAUUAUGUUUAUCGCAAUACGGUUAUUCAUUAAAGGAGAAUAAUGGUUACUCUGUCUAUUUGAAUAAUACCUUCAAUGGUCUUGCACCUAAAAUGAAUGGUUUAUUGAAUCUCGAUCGUAGUGAUACACAUGUUCAUGCCAAAAGAUAUAAGAUAGUAAUGAUAGUACCACAUACUUGUGGCACUGCCACUUGAGUCAUAUUGGUAUAAAACGCACGAAGAAGCUCCAUGUUGAUGGAUCUUUGGACUCACUCGUUUUUGAAAAGAUUGAGACAUGCGAACCAUGUCUAUUAGUAUAUAUGCAUGAAGAAAGUCCAUACAGAUGGAUCAUUUGGACUCACUUGAUUUUGAAUCACUUGAGACAUGCAAAUCAUACCACAUGGGCGAGAUGACUGAAAGGCCUCGUUUUCAGUAAGAUGGAACAAGAGAGCAACUUGGAUGGAACAAGAGAGCAACUUGUUGGAAGUAAUACAUUUGAUGUGUGCAGUCCAAUGAGUGCCGACGCACGCAGUGGAUAUCGUUAUGUUCUUACUUCACAGAUGAUUUGUGUAGAUGCUGAGAAUAUUUACUUGAUGAAACACAAGUCUGAAUUAUUGAAAGGUUCAAGUAAUUUCAGAGUGAAGUUGAAGAUCGUCGUGACAAGAGGAUAAAAUGUAUGUGAUAUGAUCAUAGAGAUGAAUAUCUGAGUUACGAGUUUGGCACACAAUUAAGAAAUUGUGGAAAUUGUUUCACGACUAAUACCGCCUGGAACACCAUAUUGUGAUGGUGUGUCCGAACAUCAUAACUGCACCCUAUUGGAUAUGGUGCAUACCAUGAUGUCUCUUAUCGAAUUACAACUAUCGUUUAUGGGUUAGGCAUUAGAGACAACCGCAUUCACUUUAAAUAGGGCACCACGCAAUUCCGUUGAGACGACACCGUAUGAACUAUGGUUUAGAGAAACCUAAGCUGUCGUUUCUUAAAAGUUUGGGGCUGCGACGCUUAUGUGAAAAAGUUUCAGGCUGAUAAGCUCGAACCCAAAGCGGAUAAAUGCAUCUUCAUAGAAUAUCCAAAACAGUUGGGUAUACCUCCUAUUUCAGAUCUGGAAGCAAAAGUGAUUGUUUCUAGAAACGGGCCCUUUCUCGAGGAAAAGUUUCUCUCGAAAGAAUUGAGUGGGAGGAUGGUGGAGACUUGAUGAGGUCAUUGAACCGUCACUUCAACUAAUGUGUAGCAGGGCACAGGAAGUUGUUCCUGUGGCACCUACACCAAUUGAAGUGGAAGCUUAUGAUAGUGAUCAUGAAACUUCAGAUCAAGUCACUACCAAACCUCAUAGGACGACAAGGAUGCGUACUACUUCAGAGUGGUACGUAAUCCUGUCUUGGAAGUCAUGUUGCUAGACAACAAUGAACCUACGAGCUAUGGAGAAGCGACGGUGGGCCCGGAUUCCGACGAAUGGCUCGAGGCCGUAAAAUCCGAGAGGAUCCAUGUAUGAAAACAAAGUAUAGACUUUGAAAGAACUACUUGAUGGUCGUAAGGCUGUUGGGUACAGAUGGAUUUUAAAGGGAAGACAGACAAUGAUGGUAAGUGUCACCAUUAAGAAAGCUCGACUUGUCAUUAAGAUGUUUUCCGGCAAGUUCAAGGAGUUGACUGCGAUGAGACUUCUCACUCAUAGCGAUGCUAAGAGUCUGUUAGAAUUAUAUUAGCAGUUACUGCAUUAUUUAUGAAAUCUUGCAGAUAGGAUGUUAAAACAUUGUUUCCUCGACGAUUUUCUUGAGGAAAGGUUGUAUGUGAUACAACCAGAAGGUUUUGUCAAUCCUGAAAGAUGCUAACAAGUAUGCAAAGCUCCAGCAAUCCUUCUAAGGAUUGGAGUAAGCAUCUCGGAGUUGGAAUGAACGCUUUGAUGAGAUGAUCAAAGAUUUUGGGUUUAUAAUAAGUUCAUGAGAAACUUGUAUUUCCAAAGAAGUGAGUGGGAGCACUAUAGAAUUUUUGAUGAGUAUAUGUUGUUAACAUAUUGUUGAUCAGAAAUGAUGUAGAAUUUCUGGAAAGCAUCCAGGGUUAUUUGAAAAGUGUUUUUAAUGGAAAACCUGGAUUAAGCUACUUGAACAUUGAGCAUCAAGAUCUAUAAGGAUAGAUCAAAAAGGCUUAAUAGUACUUUCAAAUGAAUACAUACCGUGACAAGAUUUUGAAGGAGUUCAAAAUAGAUCAGCAAAGAAGGAGUUCUUGGCUGUUUUACAAGGUGUGGGUAUUGAGUAAGACUCAAUACCUGACCACGGCAGAAGAAAGAGAAAGGACGAAGGUCGUCCCCUAUGCUUUAGACGUAGGCUCUACAAUAUGCUAUACUGUGUACCGCACCUGAAGUGUGCCUUGCCAUGAGUUAGUCAAGGGGUACAAUAGUGAUCCAGGAAGGGAUCACAUGACAGCGGUCGAACUUAUCCUUAGUAUCUAGUGGACUGAGGAAUUUUCUCGAUUAUGGAGGUGGAAAGGGGGUUCGUCGUAAAGGGUUACGUCGAUGCAAACUUUGACACUAAUCCGGAUGACUCUGAGUAGUGAACCAGAUUCGUAUAGUAGAGCAGUUAUUUGGAAUAGCUCCAAGUAGCGCGUGGUAGUUGCAUCUACAAGAUGACAUAGAAAUUUGUAAAGCACACACGGAUCUGAAUGUUGCAGACCCGUUUACUAAAACCUCUCUCGUAAGCAUAACAUGAUCAAACCCUAGAACUCAUUGAGUGUUAAUCACAUGGUGAUGUGAACUAGAUUAUUGACUCUAGUAAACUCUUGGGUAUUAGUCACAUGGCGAUGUGAACUUUGAGUGUUAAUCACAUGGUGAUGUGAACUAGAUUAUUGACUCUAGUGCAAGUGGGAGACUGUUGGAAAUAUGCCCUAGAGGCAAUAAUAAAAUGGUUAUUAUUGUAUUUACUUGUUCAUGAUAAUUGUCUGUUGUUCAUGCUAUAAUUGUAUUAACUGGAAACCGUAAUACAUGUGUGAAUACAUAGACCACAACAUGUCCCUAGUAAGCCUCUAGUUGACUAGCUCGUUGAUCAAUAGAUGGUUAUGGUUUCCUGACCAUGGACAUUGGAUGUCAUUGAUAACGGGAUCACAUCAUUAGGAGAAUGAUGUGAUGGACAAGACCCAAUCCUAAGCAUAGCACAAGAUCGUGUAGUUCGUUUGCUAGAGCUUUUCUAAUGUCAAGUAUCAUUUCCUUAGACCAUGAUAUUGUGCAAAUCCCGGAUACCAUAGGAGUGCUUUGGGUGUGCCAAACGUCACAACGUAACUGGGUGGCUAUAAAGGUGCACUACGUGUAUCUCCGAAAGUGUCUGUUGGGUUGGCACGAAUGGAGACUGGGAUUUGUCACUCCGUAUGACGGAGAGGUAUCUCUGGGCCCACUCGGUAAUGCAUCAUCAUAAUGAGCUCAAUGUGACCAAGUGUUUGGUCACAGGAUCAUGCAUUACGGUACGAGUAAAGUGACUUGCCGGUAACGAGAUUGAACAAGGUAUUGGGAUACCGACGAUCGAAUCUCGGGCAAGUAACGUACCGAUUGACAAAGGGAAUUGUAUACGGGAUUGGUUGAAUCCUCGACAUCGUGGUUCAUCCAAUGAGAUCAUCGUGGAACAUGUGGGUGCCAACAUGGGUAUCCAGAUCCUGCUGUUGGUUAUUGACCGAAGAGUCGUCUCGGUCAUGUCUGCAUGUCUCCCGAACCCGUAGGGUCUACACACUUAAGGUUCGGUGACGCUAGAGUUGUAGAGAUAUUAGUAUGCGGUUAACCGAAAGUUGUUCGGAGUCCCGGAUGAGAUCCCGGACGUCACGAGGAGUUCCGGAAUGGUCCGGAGGUAAAGAUUUAUAUAUGGGAAGUCCCAUUUUGGCCACCGGAAAAUGUUCGGGAUUUUUCGGUAUUGUACCGGGAAGGUUCUAGAAGGUUCCAAAGUGGGGCCCACCUGCAUGGGGGGACCCACAUGAACGUGGGUAGUGGGGGAAAGGCCCCACACCCCUGUUCAAGGCGCACCAAGAUCCCACCUUAGAAGGAAUAAGAUCAUAUCCCGAAGGGAUAAGAUCAAGAUCCCUAAAGAAGGGGGAUAACAAUCGGUGGGGAAGGGAAAUGAUGGGAUUUCUUUCCCCCACCUUUGCCAACGCCCCAAUGGACUUGGAGGGCAAGAAACCAGCCCCCUCCACCCCUAUAUAUAGUGGGGAGGCGCAUGGGAGCAGCACCCCAAGCCCUGGCGCCUCCCUCCCUCCCGUGACACCUCUUCCUCCCCGUUUGCGCUUGGCAAAGCCCUGCCGGGAUCCCGCUACUUCCACCACCACGCCGUCGUGCUGCUGGAUCUCCAUCAACUUCUCCUCCCCCCUUGCUGGAUCAAGAAGGAGGAGACGUCCCCGCUACGUACGUGUGUUGAACGCGGAGGUGCCGUCCGUUCGGCGCUAGGAUCAUCGGUGAUUUGGAUCACGACGAGUACGACUCCAUCAACCCCGUUCUCUUGAACGCUUCCGCUCGCGAUCUACAAGGGUAUGUAGAUGCACUCCUCCCCUCUCGUUGCUAGCACCUCCUAGAUUGAUCUUGGUGACACGUAGGAAAAUUUUGAAUUUCUGCUACGUUCCCCAACAGAAUGAGUGUAAGUGCCGGAAGGGGAAUUGUGGUGUAGAGUGACCUCAGCAUAAUACUCGUACAAUGCUCCGGCCAGAUGCUCCCGAUACACCUGAUACUCUGGAUCAGCACCCUCUGGAUAGAGUCGUCGCCACACGUUCUGAAGCAGGUGCGGUGAUUGAUACGUCUCCAUCGUAUCUAUAAUUUUUGAUUGUUCCAUGCCAAUAUUCUAUAACUUUCAUAUACUUUUGGCAACUUUUUAUACUAUUUUUGGACUAACAUAUUGAUCCAGUGCCCAGUGCUAGUUCUUGUUUGUUGCAUGUUUUAUGUUUCGUAGAAAACCCAUAUCAAACGGAGUCCAAACGGGAUAAAAACUAACGGAGAUUUUUUUUGGAAUAUUUGUGAUUUUUGGGAAGAAGAAUCAACAAGAUACGAUGCCCGAGGGGGCCACGAGGCAGGGGGCGCGCCCUGGACCCUCGUGGCCACCCCGUAAGGCGGUUGGAGCCCUUCUUUUGCUGCAAGAAAGCUAAUUUCCGGAUAGAGACCGUGUCCAAAAUUCAGCCCAAUCGGAGUUACGGAUCUCCGGUUAUAAAAGAAAAGGUGAAAGGCCAGAUCUGAGAGCGCAGAAACAGAGAGAGACAGAAAGACAGAUCCAAUCACGGAGGAGCUCUCGCCCCUCCCAUGCCAUGGAGGCCAAGGACCAGAGGGGAAACCCUUCUCCCAUCUAGGGAGGAGGUCAAGGAAGAAGAAGAAGAAGGGGCCCCCUCUCCCCCUCUCUUUCGGUGGCGCCGGAACACCGCCGGGGGCCAUCAUCAUCACCGCAACACCUCCGCCAUCUUCACCAACAUCUCCAUCACCUUCCCCCCUCUAUCUAUAGCGGUCCACUCUCCCGCAACCCGCUGUACCCUCUACUUGAACAUGGUGCUUUAUGCUUCAUAUUAUUAUCCAAUGAUGUGUUGCCAUCCUAUGAUAUCUGAGUAGAUUUUCGUUGUCCUAUCGGUGGUUGAUGAAUUGCUAUGAUUGAUUUAAUUUGCUUUUGGUUAUGUUGCUGUCCUUUGGUGCCCAUCAUAUGAGCACGCGCGUCGAUCACACCAUAGGGUUAGUUGUAUGUUGAUAGGACUAUGUAUUGGAGGGCAAGAGUGACAGAAGCUUCAACCUAGCAUAGAAAUUGAUGCAUACGGGAUUGAAGGGGGGCCAAUAUAUCUUAAUGCUAUGGUUGGGUUUUGCCUUAAUGAACGUUAGUAGUUGCGGAUGCUUGCUAAUAGUUCCAAUCAUAAGUGCAUAGAAUUCCAAGUCAGGGAUGACAUGCUAGCAGUGGCCUCUCCCACAUAAAAUUUGCUAUCGGUCUAGUAAAGUAGUCAAUUGCUUAGGGACAAUUUCGCAACUCCUAUCACCACUUUUCCACACUCGCUAUAUUUACUUUAUUGUGUCUUUAUCUAAACAGCCCCUACUUUUUAUUUACAUGCUCUUUAUUAUCUUGCAAACCUAUCCAACAACACCUACAAAGUAUUUCUAGUUUCAUACUUGUUCUAGGUAAAGCGAAUGUUAAGCGUGCGUAGAGUUGUAUCGGUGGUCGAUAGAACUUGAGGGAAUAUUUUUUCUACCUUUAGCUCCUCGUUGGGUUCGACACUCUUACUUAUCGAAAGAGGCUACAAUUGAUCCCCUAUACUUGUGGGUUAUCAAGACCUUUUUCUGGCGCCGUUGCCGGGGAACAAUAGCGUGGGGUGAAUAUUCUCGUGUGUGCUUGUUUGCUUUAUCACUAAGUAAUUUUUAUUUGCUGUUCUUAGUUGUUCUUUAUCUUUAGUUAUGGAUAUGGAACACGAAAUACCAAAAAAUUAGGUGUACUUGCUACUCAUGGAGAUGGGGAACCUCCUAAAACCCUCGAUGCUCGUUAUGUGACAGAUAUUAUGUACUACUUUGAUAAUCCAGAGAAAACCCCAUUCAAUUAUGUAAUGGGCGACACGUUGGAUCAACGUGAAUACUUUAGGGAUUAUCGCUUGACUCAAAAAGGGAAACUAUUAUGGGACCAAAUUCAUAUGUUGAAGUGGUAUGCUAGGCAACUAUGCUUGAGAUAUGAUUAUACUUGUUGCUCUAGUAUGAAGUCUCCACACCUUCCCUUUUCAUGCAAAUUUAAUGAUAAUAAAACCUUAUCUUCUUAUGCUAAUGGUAUAUAUGAUUACUAUGAUGUGGAAUAAAUAGAAGAAUUUGUUGCUUUUAUGGGUGCUUAUGAAAUUGAAUCUAUGUUCAAAGAAUUUGAAAAUCUUUAUGAUGUUGUUUAUAGACCUGAAAACUUAGCUAUCCUUAAAUAUUGCUAUGCCAAUUAUGAAUUCAAUUCCGAUAUUGAUGCAUUUAUUGAGAAAGUCUCCGCUGUCCAAGAAGAGACUAAUAUUUUGCAGGAGUCUAUGGAAGAAGAAAUUGAUGAUACUGUGAGCUCAUUGGAUGAAAAAGAUGAUGAGGAGAGCAAAGAACAAAAGGAGGAAGAGCGGGUUAGCUACCCGUGCCCACCUUCUAAUGAGAGUAACUCUUCAACUCAUACAUUGUUUAAUUUCCCUUCGUGCUUACCGAAGGAUGAUUGCUAUGAUGAUUGUUAUGAUUCGGUUGAUUCUCUUGAAAUAUCCCUUUUUGAUGAUGCUUGCUAUGCUUGUGGCCAAGAUGCCAAUAUGAAUUAUGCUUUUGGAGAUGAACUUGCUAUAGUUCCUUAUGUUAAACAUGAAAUUGUUGCUAUUGCACCCACACAUGAUAGUCAUAUUAUCUUUUUGAAUUGUCCCGACUACACUAUAUCAGAGAAGUUUUCCCUUAUUAAGGAUUAUAUUGAUGGGUUGUGUUUUACUUACACACAUGAUGAUUUUGAUGAAUAUAAUAUGCAUGUGCUUGCUGCUCCUACUUGCAAUUAUUAUGAGAGAGGAACUACAUCUCUGCCUCUUUAUGUUUCCAACACGAAAAAAUUGCAAAAAACUGUUUAUACUAUGCAUUGGCCUUUACUAUGUGUGCAUGAAUUGUUCUUUUAUGACAUGCCGAUGCAUAGGAAGAGAUUUAGACUUCUUCAUUACAUGAUAUAUGUUACUUUGUGCUCACUACUAAAUGCCAAAUCAUUGCUAAUUAAAAUUGGCUUUGAUAUACCUUGGGAUCCGGGUGGAUUCACUACUUGAGCACCAUAUGCCUAGCUUAAUGGCUUUAAAGAAAGCGCUGCCAGGGAGACAACCCGGAAGUUUUAGAGAGUCAUUUAUUUCUAUUGAGUGCUUUCAUAUAGUUUAAAAACAAAAAGAUAAAGAGGGGAACCCAAAACUUUUUCAAAAAGAAAAGUGAAAGUGAGAGAGACAAGCAUUGUUCAAGUGGGAGCUAGCCUUGAACUUUGUUCAUGCUCACGGAAACUUUGUGAAUCUUGAUUACAGAAACUUUUCAACAAAAAUAAUUAUCCCCUUGUAUAAUUCCAUUGUAUUAUAAAAAUAAUGUGCCAAGGUUUGCCUUUAGGAUGUUUACAAUGCUUGUUGGUUUGUACGGUAAAGGACAGAAACUUUGGCUGUAGUGCGCGAUUUUUAAUUGUUUACUGCAACGUCAAAAGGUUCUGAAAUGUUUUGCACUGUCUUUCUAUACAAAUUGUUUAUUUUCUCUAAUUUUGGCAGAAUUUUUCAAGUAUCAGAAGUAUGGUGAAUGUUCAGAUUAUUACAGACUGUUCUGUUUUAGACAGAUUCUGUUUUUGAUGCAUAGUUUGCUUGUUUUGAUGAAACUAUCAAUUUCUAUCAGUAGAUUAAGCCAUGAAAAAUUUAUAUUACAGUAGAAACAGUGCAAAAAAAAUAUGAAUUGGUUUGCAACAGUACUUAGAUUAGUGAUUUACUUUAUUAUACUAACGGAUCCUACCGAGUUUUCUGUUGAAGUUUUGUGUGGAUGAAGUGUUCCAUGAUCGAGAAGGUCUCGAUAUGAGGAGAAGGAGGAGAGGCCAGAGCUCAAGCUUGGGGAUGCCCAAGGAACCCCAAGUAAAUAUUCAAGGAUAAUCAAGCGUCUAAGCUUGGGGAUGCCCCGGAAGGCAUCCCAUCUUUCUUCAACAAGUAUCGGUAUGUUUUCGGAUUCGUUUUGUUCAUGCGAUAUGUGCAAAUCUUGGAGCGUCUUUUGCAUUUAGUUUUCACUUUUCUUUUAUGCAACAUGCUGGUAUGAGAUAGUCCUUGGUUAAUUUAUAGAAUGCUCAUUGCACUUCACUUAUAUAUUUUGAGUAUGGCUUUAUAGAAUGCUUCAUGUGCUUCACUUAUAUCAUUUGAAGUUUGGAUUGCCUGUUUCUCUUCACAUAGAAUCGCCAUUUGUAGAAUGCUCUUUUGCUUCACUUAUACUUGUUAGAGCGUGGGCAUAUCUUUUGUAGAAAGAAUUAAACUCUCUUGCUUCACUUAUAUCUAUUUAGAGAGAUGACAGCAACUGGUCAUUCACAUGGUUAGUCAUAAAAUCCUACAUAAAACUUGUAGAUCACUGACUAUGAUAUGGUUGAUUCCUUGCAAUAGUUUUGUGAUAUAAAGAUGGUGAUAUUAGAGUCAUGCUAGUGUGUAGUUGUGGAUUGUAGAAAUACUUGUGUUGAGGAUUGUGAUUCCCGUAGCAUGCACGUAUGGUGAACCGUUAUGUAACGAAGUCGGAGCAUGAUUUAUUUAUUGAUUGUCUUCCUUAUGAGUGGCGGUCGGGGACGAGCGAUGGUAUUUUCCUACCAAUCUAUCCCCCCAGGGGCAUGCAUAGUAGUACUUUGCUUCCAGGGCUAAUAAACUUUUGCAAUAAUUAUAUGAGUUCUUUAUGACUAAUGUGAGUCCAUGGAUUAUACGCACUCUCACCCUUCCAUCUUGCUAGCCUCUUCGGUACCGUGCAUUGCCCUUUCUCACCUCGAGAGUUGGUGCAAACUUCGCUGGUGCAUCCAAACCCCGUGAUACGAUACGCUCUAUCACACAUAAGCCUCAUUAUAUCUUCCUCAAAACAGCCACCAUACCUACCUAUCAUGACAUUUCCAUAGCCAUUCCGAGAUAUAUUGCCAUGCAACUUCCAUCAUCAUCAUAUACAUGACUUGAGCAUUUAUUGUCAUAUUGCUUUGCAUGAUCAUAAGAUAUCUAGCAUGAUGUUUUCAUGGCUUGUCCGUUUUUUUGAUGUCAUUGCUACGCUAGAUCAUUGCACAUCCCGGUACACCACCGGAGGUGUUCAUAUAGAGUCAUAUCUUUGUUCUAGUAUCGAGUUGUAAUAUUGAGUUGUAAGUAAAUAAAAGUGUGAUGAUCAUCAUUAUUAGAGCAUUGCCCCAUCAAAAAAAAGAGAGGCCAAAGAAGCCUAAAUAAAAAAAGGGGCCAAAGAAGCCCGCAAAAAAAAGAAAAAAAGAAAAAAGGGCAAUGUUACUAUCCUUUUACCACACUUGUGCUUCAAAGUAGCACCAUGUUCUUCAUGAUAGAGAGUCUCUUGAGUUAUCACUUUCAUAUACUAGUGGGAAUUUUCAUUAUAGAACUAGGCUUGUAUAUUCCAACGAUGGGCUUUCUCAAAUGCCCUAGGUCUUCAUGAGCAAGCAAGUUGGAUGCACACCCACUUAGUUUGAGUUUGAGCUUUCAUAUACUUAUAGCUCUAGUGCAUCUGUUGCAUGUCAAUUCCUACUCCUCACAUUGACAUCAAUUGAUGGGCAUCUCCAUAGCCUGUUGAUUAGCCGCGUCGAUGUGAGACUUUCUCCUUUUUUGUCUUCUCCACAUAACCCCCAUCAUCAUAUUCUAUUCCACCCAUAGUGCUAUAUCCAUGGCUUGCGCUCAUGUAUUGCGUGAGGGUUGAAAAGGCUGAAGCGCGUUAAAAAGUAUGAACCUAUUGCUCGGCUUGUCAUCGGGGUUGUGCCUGAUGUGAAUAUUUUGUGUGGUGAAGAUGGAGCAUAGCCAGACUAUAUGAUUUUGUAGGGAUAACUUUCUUUGGCCAUGUUAUUUUGAAAAGACAUGAUUGGUUCAUUGGUAGGCUAGAAGUAUUAUUGUUUUUAAUGUCAAAUGAUAGACUAUUGCUUUGAAUCACUCGUGUCUUAAUAUUCAUGCCAUGAUUAGAUUAUGUGAUCAAGAUUAUGCUAGGUAGCAUUCGACAUCAAAAAUUAUCUUUCUUAUCAUUUACCUACUCGAGGACGAGCAGGAAUUAAGCUUGGGGAUGCUGAUACCUCUCUGUUGUAUCUAUAAUUUUUGAUUGUUCCAUGGCAAUAUUCUACAACUUUCAUAUAGUUUUGGCAACUUUUUAUACUAUUUUUUGGACUAACAUAUUGAUCCAGUGCCCAGUGUCAGUUCCUGUUUGUUGCAUGUUUCAUGUUUCGCAGAAAACCCAUAUCAAACGGAGUCCAAACGGGAUAAAAACUAACGGAGAUUUUUUUUGGAAUAUUUGUGAUUUUUGGGAAGAAGAAUCAACACGAUAUGAUGCCCAAGGGGGCCACGAGGCAGGGGGCGCGCCCCAGGGGGUCAGGCACGCCCUGGACCCUCCCGGCCACUGCGUAAGGAGGUUGGAGCCCUUCUUUCGCCGCAAGAAAGCUAAUUUUCGGAUAGAGACCGUGUCCAAAAUUCAGCCAAAUCGGAGUUACGGAUCUUCGGUUAUAAAAGAAACGGUGAAAGGUCAGAUCUGAGAGCGCAGAAAUAGAGAGAGACAGAAAGACAGAUCCAAUCUCGGAGGGGCUCUCGCCCCUCCCAUGCCAUGGAGGCCAAGGACCAGAGGGGAAACCCUUCUCCCAUCUAGGGAGGAGGUCAUGGAAGAAGAAGAAUAAGGGGGCCCCUCUCCCCCUCUCUUCCGGUGGCGCCGGAACGCCGCCAGGGCCAUCAUCAUCACCGCAACACCUCCGCCAUCUUCACCAACAUCUCCAUCACCUUCCCCCCUCUAUCUACAGCGGUCCACUCUCCUGCAACCCACUGUACCCUCUACUUGAACAUGGUGCUUUAUGCUUCAUAUUAUUAUCCAAUGAUGUGUUGCCAUCCUAUGAUGUCUGAGUAGAUUUUCGUUGUCCUAUCGGUGGUUGAUGAAUUGCUAUGAUUGAUUUAAUUUGCUUGUGGUUAUGUUGCUGUCCUUUGGUUAAUCAUAUGAGCGCGCGCGUGGAUCACACCAUAGGGUUAGUUGUAUGUUGAUAGGACUAUGUAUUGGAGGGCAAGAGUGACAGAAGCUUCAACCUAGCAUAGAAAUUGAUGCAUACGGGAUUGAAGGGGGACCAAUAUAUCUUAAUGCUAUGGUUGGGUUUUACCUUAAUGAACGUUAGUAGUUGCGGAUGCUUGCUAAUAGUUCCAAUCGUAAGUGCAUAGAAUUCCAAGUCAGGGAUGACAUGCUAGCAGUGGCCUCUCCCACAUAAAACUUGCUAUCGGUCUAGUAAAGUAGUCAAUUGCUUAGGGACAAUUUCGCAACUCCUAUCAACACUUUUCCACACUCGCUAUAUUUACUUUAUUGUGUCUUUAUCUAAACAGCCCCUACUUUUUAUUUACGUGCUCUUUAUUAUCUUGCAAUCCAAUCCAACAACACCUAUAAAGUAUUUCUAGUUUCAUACUUGUUCUAGGUAAAGCGAACGUUAUGCGUGCGUAGAGUUGUAUCGGUAGUCGAUAGACCUUGAGGGAAUAUUUGUUCUACCUUUAGCUCCUUGUUGGGUUCGACACUCUUACUUAUCGGAAGAGGCUACAAUUGACCCCCUAUACUUGUGGGUUAUCAGCGAUGUGUACGGAGCUGGCUCAGGAUGGUACAAGAUCGGAACUGGAGCCAUCUACACUCACAACCAUCAUACUGUUAGUAAUACCAACAGAUAACAUGCAUGCAAUGCAGCAACCAAUUUCUAUGACUACCGGCACUCAGACGAAACUAUUUACCGUUCCACUAACGCUCUAACGGUCUAGCGUGUCUUACAAUCAGCGCAGCUCUGAUACCAAGCGUUGUGGCAUCCCAGUUCAGAGCAACCGGUUUACCUUGCAUUGCCAGCCCAGAGAUCAAGUCUUUUGGCAACACACAACAACAUGGUACAUAAACAACCGCUUUAUUGAUGCUAGCGGAUUACACGGGUCUGAUAUUACAUCGAGAUAAGAGGCCAAGCGGCACACUCGGUGCGGCUCAACAGUAUGUACAUUAUUUAAUGAACAUAAAGGGGCCUCGAUUACACGAACUACGCGGCAGCGGAAGAACGACGAAGUGGAACUCCAUAGCACAGGGAGACCGAUGUCGACACCGCCUAGACGCGGGAAGCUCUCCGAUGCGAAAUGACUUGCCUGAAAACUGGCAUGACACGCCAGGUCAGUACAUUGAAUGCAACAAAAAUAAGCAUAAUGACAAACAAUAUCAUGACAAUUAAUCAGGUUAAUGCAAUGCAAGUAAUGCUACUAAUGCGGUGAAACCAACAUGUGCACCAUGUCCCACGGACUCGCUUACCAGACGGGUUACCUCGUAACCAAACGGUGAUCAUACCCGGAUCACAACUGAAACCAAUCACUCAUGAUUAGCUCAUGAUCUCCAGAAUCAUCAGUGCCAUCAACAAUUAUUUAGUGUGCAAGAUUAAUUAUAAAAGUUGAUCCAUGGUGUGACUUACUUCCGAGUUGUGCCCAUAACCGAGGACGCGGCUAUCGAUAGAUUUAAUAUACUCUGCAGAGGUAGCGCACUUUACCCACACCACGGAAUCCAUGGCCUCGCCCUCCCAUUCGGGUGGACCAACGGCAUUCCGACGAAACCCUCCCCUUGUCAUGACACUCUCCCGGCCACUCCGACAAACUCCCUCUCAGGGCUAUGUCCUGGGUGGCCCCGUGUCUACCAAAGACACCAACGGCCACCGUCGUGGCAAAACGGUCCCAAACUGGGACAAGGUACCAUAAAAACAAACGGGCACACAAGGUUAUGUCUGCUUACUGGGCCAAGGUAUGCACGCACAUAACCUUCCCUCAUUGGAGGCACCGGUGUGAGGCACAACAAAGGACCGAAUCAAGACCUCCCACGAGGUAAAUGUGGUCGCACUGAGAGAAACCCUAUUCAGUGGCACCAUGACUUGAUCAACGUCAUAUUGAAGUGGACUUAUUAACAGGUUUAACUUGAAUAAAAAUUUAAACUACCAAGUCAUAUGAUGCCAUGAUCAUGCAACUAAUCAACAUGCAAAGCAUACAACUCCCAUGUACGGAUCAAACUUAUCCACAUAACUUGCUUGCACUACUCAUGAUUAAACUUUACUGGUUCUCCCUCAACUUUUAUUAUCACGCAAUAUUUUUAUUAACUCAUAAUUUAUAUGUAGAUAUCACUUACCAAAAGAACUAUCAUUAUUUAUCAUAGCAAUAUAACUAAGGCAAAAUUUUAUUCUACUAGACCAAACUAGUCCAUGCAUUCAACCAGUAACUUAAACAAGCAUUUCAUGCAUGACAAAGUAACUAGCAAGCAACCAUAUAUUUUUAAAAAAAAUUUAAAUGCAUAUAAGAACUCAUAUUUAAGUAGAAACAAUCAUAGAUAUUGAAAUGACACCAUACAAAUGCUGGUAUGGCUUGCCUUAGUGCAGAGGAGGGUCACACUCCUCCUGGUGUCUUCAAGGCAAGUUCCUUCUUCUGAAAAUAUUUAAAAACCACAAAACAAAAUAUCAAAAAUCAUUCUGAAAAUCACUAGAAAUUCUAGACAACAAGGAAAAUUCCACAUUUUGGUGUGCUGCUAGUGCUUUCUGAAACAAACACAAUGCAAAAAGAAUCAACUCAUUUGGACUUAGGGCCUAGGAGUUAUCACUGGUCAAAGUUGUGGUCAAAUAUUUGAAUUAUUUUUGAAUAAAUCGAAAAACCUGGGGGGGGUGACGUCGGUGGCAUAAAGCCAGGAUACGCCUCCACUCGUACUGCUUCGGGAGCAAGUGGUGAGGCUGACACCGGGCCCCACCGGUCAGGAGAGAGAAGGGGGAGAGGGGAAACAGAGCGCGGCGGCGCUCUGUGGGUUUUGGAAAAAACCAGAGGGAUAGAAGUGGAGAGGGGGUCGUGGCGCACCAGCCCGUACCUGUGGCUUGCUGGGGGAUGGACGGAGUUGCUCGCAAUCAAGCUCGCAAGCGGCGGUGGUGGACGGGGCUUGCCGGAGAGGAAGAAGGCGACGGCGAGGGGCGACUCCAGGGGCUCAGCUGCGACCAGGCGACACCAGAGGAUCCCCAACGACGCGCCGGAGAGGUUGAUAGAGCUAGAAGGGCUCUGGAGUGGGGUGGUUGGGCUGCGGGGAUCGCCGGCGAUCUCUGGUCGAGGUCGACGGCCAGAGGCCUGCUCGACCGGGCUACGGCUCCUCUACACGGUUGUGGUGGUUAUGUGGUGCGGUGUGAGGCUUCAAAGCGGAGGGAAUGGCUCUAUAUAUAGCCGGAGCGAGAGGGGGGGUACGUGGCGUCGCUGGAGUUCUCUUGAGACCGACGAAGUGCGACGAAAGGCACCAGAGGGAGGGGGCAAGGGCUCAGUGUGUAGGUGGGAGCUGUCCACGCUCGCGGACGAGCACAGGAGGCAGGGGGAGAAGAAGACAAGGGCACGAGCGCACUGUGGCUUUUGGCCGCGACGUGCCCAUGCUCGCUGCGGUGUCUCCAGCGUCGCGAGCGCCAGAGAGGGGUCAAAGGUGAUGAGUCAAGGCUGGUGGCACGGCGCGGCAGUCGUCGGCGAGCUCUGGCUCGAGCACGCGCCGAACAGAGGCGUUGGCACUACUCAGAGCGCGUCGAGCACAUGCCAGACCCCAUGUCCACACGCGGUCACCACCCUGGCAUUGUCAAAACGACGCCCACGAUCGGCCAAACCUUGUCUGGGCUAAAGUCCAUGCAGUGAUGGGUCUAGGGAAGCUGAGGACUCAAUGCCGGGCCGACCAGAUGUGACUCAACCAUCUUGGCAAGUUUCUGGACAGAAACUUGGCUGCUAUGUUUGGAUAGCUUCUAGAUGGCCAUUAGGGCUGAUCUCCUGGGGUUAAGGGUUACUUAGGAGGGUGAAGAGACUCAAGAAAAAUCAGGGCCAAAGGAUCAAGGAAAAAUGCACUUGCUGUUCAAAGUGAAAUUUUGGGCCAGAAGAGAAAUUAUUUUCUGUAGCAAAAAUACUACAAAAAGUCAUGCAAUAUUUUUUCUUGGGAAGGUGGGCCAUGGUUCAAAGAAUAUUCAGGAAUUAUUUCAGAUUUUUAGGAGCAAUAAAAAUGGGGGUUGCUUUGGAGCACAAGUUUCUGAAAUGAGUUUCAGAGGAGAAAAUGAAUAUUUUCCUUUUAUGAAAAAUAUUCAUUUGAUUAUUUUGAGGAUUUUUCAGAGAACUAAGGUUGAAGGAGAAGUAGAUAGGUCACUUGGGUGAAAGUCAAGGGCAUGCCCAAGUGACAAGUCCAUUUGAAUUGAUUCCAAAAACUCAAAUCCAAGGCAAAGGCAAAACCAUGUCCGGAAAAAGAGAGAAGGCAAAAUCCAGGCUGUCACAAACCUCCCCCACUUAGGAUGAAUCUCGUCCUCGAGAUUCGGUUGCUUGGGAAAGCCAUCCUGGGUAGGAAGUCCUUAAAAAUUCCUCUCUUUCCCAGGUUGCCUCUUCCUUGGUAUGAUGUUCCCACUGAACCUUGUAAAACCUUAGCACUUUGCUGCGAGUGACUCUUUCUGUAUCAGCCAAUAUUCUGAUUGGUUUUUCCUCAUACGUCAAAUCCUUAGCCAGUUCUAUCUCUGCCAUAUCAGUCCUUUUCUCCGGUGGCGAGAUACAUCUCCUUAGCUGUGAGACAUGAAACACAUUGUGUACCUCUGACAGUUCGGGUGGCAAUUCCAAUUGAUAUGCAACUGUUCCGACUCUGGCCAUGACUGGAAACGGACCAAUAUAUCUGGGUGCCAAUUUUCCUCGGGUCUGAAACCUCUUAACUCCUUUCAUAGGGGUAACUUGGAGAUAGACGUGUUCUUCGGGUUCGAAGCUGAUCUGACGGUGUUUGGCGUCAUAAUAAUUCUUCUGUCGAGAUUUGGCCAACUGCAGUCUGUCUCGGAUUUCCUUGACUUGCUUCUCAGCUUCGAUCAUCAAAUCAGUCCCGAAAAUAUGGUUGUCCCCGGUUUGAGACCAAUUCAGCGGAGUGCGGCACUUACGGCCAUACAGAGCUUCAAAGGGUGACAUCUUUAAGCUGGUCUGGAAACUGUUGUUGUAGGAAAACUCGGCGUAUGGCAGACAGUCUUCCCACUUGGACCCUUGGGCCAAUGCACAUGCCCGGAGCAUAUCUUCGAGUAUUUGGUUUACUCGCUCAGUUUGUCCAUCUGUCUGGGGAUGAUAAGCCAUGCUGUAUUUCAGAGCAGUUCCCAAGGCUUGAUGUAGUCUGGACCAAAAUGCUGAGGUGAAGAGAGAUCCUCUAUCUGAAGUGAUAUUCUUUGGUACUCCAUGCAGACUGACGAUUCAGGACACAUACAAUUGUGCAAGUUGAUCGACAUGGUAGGUGGUCCGGAUGGGAAGAAAAUGUGCCACCUUCGUUAAGGUGUCCACUAUGACCCAUAUUGCGUCAUUUCCUCGGUGAGUCCUUGGUAAACCGGUGAUGAAAUCCAUGCAGACAUCAUCCCAUUUCCAUUGGGAUACAGGUAACGGUUUGAAGGAGUCCGACGGGUUUUUGGUGUUCCGCCUUUACCUUGUUGCAUAUAUCACAACAAGCCACAAAGUAAGCGAUCUCGUUCUUCAUUCCAUUCCACCAGAAUACCUGACGAAGGUCUUCGUACAUUUUAGUGCCACCUGGGUGAAUUGAGUACGGCGAUUCAUGUGCUUCUGUCAAUAUUUUCUUCCUCAGACCUUCUUGGCUGGGUACGCAAAUCCUUCCUCGGAAUCUUAGCGUACCUUGUUGAUCUCUAGAGAAAUCCUGUGUCUGUCCUUCUUGCAUACGCUUGGCAUAUAAUUGCAAUGAUUUGUCAUUUGCUUGAGCGCUGCGAAUUUCUUCUUCGAGGGUAGGAGUAACUUCCAAUAUACUGGCAAGACUGGCAUCCAUGAUUACCAAAUUAAGCCGGGCAAUUUCUCCAUAAAGCUCAGGAGGCAAAGAUUCCACUAGAGCAUUCAGGUUGGCCGGUUUGCGGCUGAGAGCGUCAGCAACCACAUUAGCUUUGCCCGGGUGAUAAUUUAUACCGAUGUCGUAAUCCUUAACCAAUUCGAGCCAUCUUCACUGAUGAAGGUUCAAAUCAGGCUGAGUGAAUAUAUACUUGAGACUCUUGUGGUCGGUAAAUAUCUGGCACCUCUUUCCAAUAAGAUAAUGUCUCCAAAUCUUCAAAGCGUGCACCACCGCAGCCAAUUCCAAAUCAUGAGUGGGAUAAUUUCCCUCGUGUGGCCGUAGUUGUCGGGAUGCAUGAGCCACAACCUUGCCAUCUUGCAUAAGUACGCAUCCAAGGCCUUUUCUGGAGGCGUCACAGUAGACAUCAAAACUGCUAUAGAUGUCGGGAAGAGUCAAUACUGGUGCUGACGUCAAUCUGGUUUUUAGCUCCUUGAAACUCCGUUCGCAGUUCUCAGUCCAUUCAAACUUCUUAUCCUUCUUUAGGAGCUUUGUCAUGGGUUUGGCAAUCUUGGAGAAUCCUUCAAUAAAACGGCGAUAAUAUCCGGCUAGUCCAAGGAAACUUUGGAUUUCUGAGACUGUCGUGGGUGCGGACCAAUCAAGCACAUCUUUUACCUUGCUUAGAUCCAAAGCUAUUCCUUCUGCCGAGAGAACCUGCCCUAAAAAUCCAACUUGCUUGAGCCAAAACUCAAAUUUGCUAAACUUGGCGUAAAGUUGAUGAUCGCGGAGUCUCUGCAAAACUGCUCGGAGGUGGUCCUUGUGUUCCUCUUUGCUUUUUGAGUAAAUGAGGAUGUCAUCGAUGAACACCACCACAAAUUUGUCCAAGAAGUCCAUAACACCUUUAUUCAUCAUAUGCAUGAACAAGGCUGGGGCGUUGGUGAGGCCGAAUGACAUAACGGUAUACUCAUAGAGACCAUACCGAGUGGUGAACGCGGUCUUGGGAAAAUCUUCCUUCUUGAUUUUGAGUUGAUGAUAUCCGGUCCUCAAAUCAAUUUUGGAGAAUACUUUGGCCCCACUGAGUUGAUCAAACAAAUCAUCAAUCCUUGGUAGCGGAUACUUAUUUUUGAUGGUGACAUCAUUCAGCUGUCGGUAGUCCACGCACAUCCGAAGACUGCCAUCCUUUUUAUCCACGAAUAUCGCGGGUGAUCCCCACGGUGAAGAGCUUGGGCGGAUGUAUCCUUUCUGCAGCAUUUCAUCCAGUUGUUUCUUUAAUUCCACCAAUUCUGAUGAAGGCAUCCGAUAAUAUUUCUUGUGUAUCGGUGUGGUUCUAGGCACCAAGUCAAUUGCAAACUCCAGUUCUUUGUCUGGCGGCAUUCCUGGUAAUUCCUCAGGAAAUACAUCUGGAUACUCACUGACCACUGCAAUCAAUUCCACUUCUUCAACCACGGCGGUGAAAACCAUAUCCUUCUUGGGUAUGCUUUUGCGGGCAUAAAAACAUGCGGUGCGACCCUCCUGAUUUGCCAUGGUAACUUCUCUGGUUGCAUAGUUGAUGCAUACUUGGUAUUGGGUCAACCAAUUCAUUCCGAGAAUAAUAUCCAAUUUGUCAGAAUCGAUGAUUAUUAGAGACGUUGGAAACUUGACCCCCUUGAUAUCAAUUUCCAGAUUACGGAAGACCAGAUUGCUUCUGAGCAAGGAUCCCGGGGAUUGUACCAGCAUAUGUUUUCCCAAAAUCGAGCAAGGAAAUUUGUUUUGGGCAGCACAACUCCACGAAAUAAAAGAGUGGGAAGCCCUAGAGUCAAAUAAAAUUAUGGCAGGUAUGUUAUUAAUAGGGAACAUACCAAUGAGUACUUCCGGGUCUUCUUGGGCUUCAUCGGUGGAGAUAUGAUGGAUUUGCCCUUGGAUGGCACUCGGGCCAGGAUAUGGCUCCAGAUAGUUGACUUGCGGACGGAAUGGGGCUGUUGGCUUGCCGUUCUUGGGGCACUAUCUGGCGUAAUGUCUGGUUUGCCCACAACUGAAACAGGAAUUGUUGCGCUGACAAUCUUCACGUACUGGGCUGGUCACGAUAUUCUUGACUUGAGUGGUGGUCUUGUUGACAUUUUGCUGCCAGUUGGGUUUGUAGUCAACCUGAGUCUGUUGCCAUGUACGAGCCUUCUGCACGGGUUGCAUAUCCUUCUUAGGCUCUAAUUUGCGCUUGUGGUAAUUAUUAGCUGGCCUGUUGUCGUGCAUGAGCUUGUGUUCCCGUUCUGCGAUGAGAGUCUUGUUCACCAGAGUUUGGAAGUCCGGAAAAUCAAACAUGCUGAGAGUGCACCUGAGAUGCUGAUUCAGUCCUCCAAGAAAUCUGUCGACCUUCCGUUCUUCGGUGGCCACAUCAUAGAGGGAAUAGCGGGCCAAAUGGUUGAAUUUAUUCAGGUACUCGCUGACUGACAUGCUUCCGUGAGUGAGAGAGAGGAAUUCGCGCUGCUUGAUUUUCAUAAUUCCGGAGGGAAUAUGGUACUUGCGGAAAUGAUCCUUGAAUUUAGUCUAAGUAAUUUCCUCGUCUGCGGGCCACAUGGCCUUAGCAUUAUCCCACCAUAUCGCGGCAGCUCCUUCAAGAUAAUGCGUUCCGGAAGGAACCUUGUCUCCUUCUUCAGUGCGAGCAACUUCCAGUUUCUUCUCAAUAGUCCUUAACCAAUCAUCAGCAUCCAAUGGAUCAAUAACUUGACUGAAACUGGGAGGUCUGGUUCGCUGAAAAUCUGACAACUUGGAGUAAUGACCAUUCUGAUGUCCAUUCUGCCCAACCAUAACUUGCACACUUUUCAGUAGUUCCAUCAGAUCGUUGUUCCUUCUUUCUUCAAACAUUCACAUGAUUUGCUCAGUAGAAGGCGGAUGUGGUGGUGGAGGCGGAGGUGGCUGAUAUGGCUCGGGAGAAUGUCCUGCAUGUCUUGCGGAGCGACGAACAGGGACAUCCUCACAAGCUUGGCUGCUGCUGCCUCCCCGCGGCAUCCUAUUAUUUAUUUUCCCAGUGCAAAGCAACCGCGAUGAUAAAUAUCCAAAAAUGGGAGGAAAGCCAGUGACAAAACCAGAAGAAAACAACGAAAGAAACCAAGGCGAAUAAAAGAGAGUUCCAACAUAAUUAUACAUAGACUCAACAUGAAAGUUAAACAUCAUGACAGGGUCACUACCCUCAUACAUGAAACUAAGCAUCAUAACACGUGCGUCUACAUCCAUACAUCAUACUCAUGCCGACGGAGAUACUCUAGCGAUCUACUGCUCUGAUGGUGCUGCUGCGGGCUCCUCUCCUGAGCCGGACCCAGAUCCUGAACUGAUAGUGGUGACCUCCGGGUUAAGAGAGACGCGACGACGCUGCCUCGAGGACUCUCCCUCAGGGGCAGGUGCGGGAUGAGAUCUAAGCAUAGGAGCUGCAAGAGUAGCGACAAGGGAAGCCCACGCAGCAAGAGCACUGCGAGGGGUUACUGCCAAAGGGGUAGUGGUACUCUGAGUGGUGGCAGAGGCUGGAGGAACGUAUGGAGUGAAACCGACAGUAGGGAGAGGGUUCCUAUUACGAGCAGCGGCGAGAGCUAUCCGGGCGCGGGUUAGCUCCCGAGCUAGCUCGUAGUUCAGGAGAUAACUGGCAGUGAUAUAACGGGAAGGUGGCUAGUAGGACGAUCUCACGCCGGAUUAAUCAAAGGAAAGCGGAUACGUCCAUUCUCGUGCAGAGAUGGGUAGUAAAAGAAACCUGGGUGGGUGUGCAUGCGAACCUUGUUGUAGCGCAAGUCUACAAGAGCUUCGAUUGCAGCAAACUGGACCGCCUGAGACGGCGUAGAAGCGAGACCACCCUUAGUAGAAUGAGUGUAAGUGCCGGAAGGGGAACUAUUGUGUAGAGUGACCUCAGCAUAAUACUCGUACAAUGCUCCGGCCAGAUUCUCCCGAUACACCUGAUACUCUGGAUCAGCACCCUCUGGAUAGAGUCGUCGCCACACAUUCUGAAGCAGGUGUGGCGAUGUGUACGAAGCUGGCUCAGGAUGGUACAAGAUUGGAACUGGAGCCAUCUACACUCACAACCAUCAUACGGUUAGUAAUAACAACAGAUAACAUGCAUGCAAUGCAACAACCAAUUUCUAUGACUACCGGCACUCAGAUGAAACUAUUUACCAUUCCACUAACGCACUAACGGUCUAGCGUGUCCUACAAUCAGCGCGGCUCUGAUACCAAGCGUUGUGGCACCCAGCUCAGAGCAACCGGUUUACCUUGCAUUGCCGGCCCAGAGAUUAAGUCUUUUGGCAACACACAACAACAUGGUACAGAAACAACCGCUUUAUUGAUGCUAGCGGAUUACACGGGUCUGAUAUUACAUCGAGAUAAGAGGCCAAGCGACACACACGGUGCGGCUGAACAGUAUGUACAUUAUUUAAUGAACAUAAAGGGGCCUCGAUUACACGAACUACGCGGCAGCGGAAGAACGACAAAGUGGAACUCCAUAGCACAGGGACACCGACGUGGACACGGCCUAGACGCGGGAAGCUCUCCGAUGCGAAACGACUUACCUGAAAACUGGCAUGACACGCCAGGUCAGUACAUUGAAUGUACUUGCAAGCUCACAACAAACAUAAGCAUAAUGACAAACAAUAUCAUGACAAUUAAUCAGGUUAAUGCAAUGCAAGUAAUGCUACUAAUGCGGUGAAAAUAACAUGUGCACCAAGUCCCACGGACUCGCUUACCAGACGGGUUACCUCGUAACCAAACGGUGAUCAUACCCGGAUCACAACUGAAACCAAUCACUCAUGAUCUCCAGAAUCAUCAGUGCCAUCAACAGUUAUUUAGUGUGCUAGAUUAAUUAUAAAAGUUGAUCCAUGGUGUGGCUUACUUCCGAGUUGUGCCCAUAACCGAGGACGCGGCUAUCGAUAGAUUUAAUACACUCUGCAGAGGUAGCGCACUUUACCCACACCACGGAAUCCACGGCCUCGCCCUCCCAUUCGGGUGGACCAACGGCACUCCGACGAAACCCUCCCCUUGUCAUGACACUCUCCCGACCACUCCGACAAACUCCCUCUCAGGGCUAUGUCCUGGGUGGCCCCGUGUCUACCAAAGACACCAACGGCCACCGUCGUGGCAAAACGGUCCCAAACGGGGACAAGGUACGAUAAAAGCAAACGGGCACACAAGGUUAUGUCUGCUUACCGGGCCAGGGUAUGCACGCCCAUAACCUUCCCUCGUUGGAGGCACCUGCGAGAGGCACAACAAAGGACCGAAUCAAGACCUCCCACAAGGUAAAUGUGGUCGUACUGAAAGAAACCCGAUUCAGUGGCACCAUGACUUGAUCAACGUCAUAUUGAAGUGGACUUAUUAACAGGUUUAACUUGAAUAAAAAUUUAAACUACCAAGUCAUACGAUGCCAUGAUCAUGCAACUAACCAACAUGCAAAGCAUACAACUCCCAUGUACGGAUCAAACUUAUCCACAUAACUUGCUUGCACUACUCAUGAUUAAACUUUACUGGUUCUCCCUCAACUUUUAUUAUCAUGCAAUAUUUUUAUUAACUCAUAAUUUAUAUGUAGAUAUCACUUACCAAAAGAACUAUCAUUAUUUAUCAUAGCAAUAUAACUAAGGCAGAAUUUUAUUCUACUAGACCAAACUACUCCAUGCAUUCACCCAGUAACUUAAACAAGCAUUUCAUGCAUGACAAAGUAACUAGCAAGCAACCAUAUAUUUUUAACAAAUUUUUAAAUGCAUAUAAGAACUCAUAUUUAAGUAGAAACAAUCAUAGAUAUUGAAAUGACACCAUCCAAAUUCUGGUGUCGCUUGCCUUAGUGCAGAGGAGGGUCACACUCCUCCUGGUUGUCUUCAAGGCAAGUUCCUUCUUCUGAAAAUAUUUAAAGACCACAAAACAAAAUAUCAAAAACCAUUCUGAAAAUCACCAGAAAUUCUAGACAUCAAGGAAAAUUUCACAUUUUGGUGUGCUGCUAGAGCUUUCUGAAACAAACAUAAUGCAAAAAGAAUCAACUCAUUUGGACUUAGGGGCUAGGAGUUAUCACUGGUCAAAGUUGUGGUCAAAUAUUUGAAUUAUUUUGAAUAAAUCAGAAAACCUAGGGGGUGACGUCGAUGGCGUAAAGCCAGGAUACGCCUCCCCUCGUACCACUUCGGGUGCGAGUGGUGAGGCUGACACCGGGCCCCACCGGUCAGGAGAGAGAGGGGGAGAGGGGAAACAGAGCGCGGUGGCGCUCCGCCGGAGCCUACGCCGGCGACGAGUGGGUUUUGGGCAAAACUAGAGGGAUAGAAGUGGAGAUGGGGUCAUGGCGCACCUACCCGUACCCGUGGCUUGCCGGGGGAUGGCCGGAGUUGCUCGCAAUCAAGCUCGCAAGCGGCGGUGGCGGACGGGGCUUGCCAGAGAGGAAGAAGGCGACGGCGAGGGGCAACUCCAGGGGCUCAGCUGUGUCCAGGCGACACCAGAGGAUCCCCAACGACGCGCCGGAGAGGUUGAUAGAGCUAGAGGGGCUCUGGAGUGGGGUGGUUGGGCUGUGGGGAUUGCCAGCGAUCUCUGGUCGAGGUCGACGACCAGAGGCCUGCCCGACCGGGCUACGGGUCCUCUACGCGGUUGUGGUGGUUGUGUGGUGCGGUGUGAGGCUUCGAAGCGGAGGGAAUGGCUCUAUUUAUAGCCGGAGUGAGAGGGGGGUACGUGGCACCGCCGGAGUUCUCUGGAGACCGGCGAACGGCGACGAAAGGCACCAGAGGGAGGGGGAAAGGGCUCAGUGUGUAGGCGGGAGCUGUCCACGCUCGCGGACGAGCACAGGAGGCAGGGGAGAAGAAGACAAGGGCACGAGCGCACUGUGGCUUUUGGCCGCGACGUGCCCGUGCUCGCUGCGGCGUCUCCGGCAUCGGCGAGCGCCAGAGAGGGGUCAAAGGUGAUGAGUCGAGGCUGGUGGCGCGACGCGGCAGUCGUCGGCGAGCUCUGGCUCGAGCACGCGCCGAACAGAGGCGUUGGCGCUACUCAAAGCGCGUCGAGCACAUGCCAGACCUCGUGUCCACACACGGUCACCACCCUGGCAUGUUCAAAACGACGCCCACGAUCGGCCAAACCUUGUCUGGGCUAAAGUCCAUGCAGUGAUGGGUCUAGGGAAGCUGAGGACUCAAUGCCAGGCCGACGAGAUGUGACUCAACCAUCUUGGCAAGUUUCUGGACAGAAACUUGGCUGCUAUGUUUGGAUAGCUUCUAGAUGGCCAUUAGGGCUGAUCUCCUGGGGUUAAGGGUUACUUAGGAGGGUGAAGAGGCUCAAGAAAAAUCAGGGCCAAAGGAUUAAGGAAAAAUGCACUUGUUGUUCAAAGUGAAAUUUUGGGCCAGAAGAGAAAUUAUUUUCUGUAGAAAAAAUACUACAAAAAGUCAUGCAAUAUUUUUGCUUGGGAAGGUGGGCCAUGGUUCAAAGAAAAUUUAGGAAUUAUUUCAGAUUUUUAGGAGCAAUAAAAAUGGGGGUUGCUUUGGAGCACAAGUUUCUGAAAUGAGUUUCAAAGGAGAAAAUGAAUAUUUUCCUUUUAUGAAAAAUAUCCAUUUGAUUGUUUUGAGGAUUUUUCAGAGAACUAAGGUUGAAGGAGAAGUAGAUAGGUCACUUGGGUGAAAGUCAAGGGUAUGCCCAAGUGACAUGUCCAUUUGAAUUGAUUCCAAAUACUCAAAUCCAAGGCAAAGGCAAAACCAUGUCCGGAAAAAGAGAGAAGGCAAAAUCCAUGUGCGUGGCGGCACGCCAUGCAUGCUAGGCUAUUUUUCGGGGCCAGAUUUGGCCUAUUGGGUUGUUCUUUAGGCCAUAUAUAAAAAAUCUAAAUAAAAAUAAAAUAAAUAUAGGGGGUCGUGUCACGCCGGCCCGUUGGACCCAGCCUCCAGGCCGAGGCACGACCCCUGGCAUGCCGCGUGCCUGGCACGACCUGUUUAGCCCGUGUCAUGUUGUGUCUUGGCCAUGCGGGACGUGCUACCAGGCUGGCCCAGCUAUCCCGACCCGUUUGGCUAGCUUUGCAUGAGACAGUAGCUAAAUUGCCUAUGGUACAAGCAGUUCCUGUUUAUUCUAUGUCAUGUUUUAAACUUCCCAGGGUUUAUGUGAACAGUUGAACAUGUUGAUCUAGAAAUUUUGGUGGAGAAGUAAGGAGGGCCAUAGAAAACCCAACUGGGUUUCUUGGGAUACUCUGACAUGGCCCAAGUACAUGGGAGGUUUGGACUUCAAGGAUUUUGAUUUGUUCAAUUUGGCUUUGCUAGCAAAAGAGGCGUGGAGUGUAGUACAAAUGCCAGAUUCUCUCAGCACAAGAAUUUUAAAGGCUGCCUAUUUUCCUUGUUCAAUUCUUGAUGCAAACCUCGGUAACCAUCCUAGUCAGAUCUGGAGAGGGGCAUGAUGUUCUAAAAUAGGGAUUGAUUAGGAGAAUUGGCAACGGAGCAUCAACUAAUAUAUGGAGUGCCAAAUGGACGUACAUGGGAGGUUUGGACUUCAAGGAUUUUGAUUUGUUUAAUUUGGCUUUGCUAGCGAAAGAGGCGUGGAGUGUAGUACAAAUGCCAGAUUCUCUCAGCACAAGAAUUUUAAAGGCUGCCUAUUUUCCUUCUUGUUCAAUUCUUGAUGCAAAGCUCGGUAACCAUCCCAGUCAGAUCUGGAGAGGGGCAUGAUGUUCUAAAACAGGGAUUGAUUAGGAGAAUUGGCAACGGAGCAUCAACUAAUAUAUGGAGAGACAAAUGGACUCUGAGUGACGUGUUGAGUACCUUUGGAUGUAUGUCAGGCAAUCCUCCUAUAUAUGUGUCUGAACUCAUUGAUCAAACUUCAGCUAGAUGGGACAAGGAGAAAGUUGCCGAGGUUUGCCUACUGAUCGACGUGCCAGCCAUUCUCAGCAUACCUUUAUGUACAACAAAUAUUGAUCAUAGUUGGUCGUGGAAUUUUGAAAAAAAAGAAAAAAAUAUGUUCGAUCAGUCUAUAAGAUGAUGGUUGCAACCAAAAUGAGAAGAGAAGCAUGGCUAGAUGGUUCCACGGGUUCAUCAAGCAUUGAUAGGGAUGCAACAUCAUGGAAAUUGUUAUGGAAAACACCGGUAUCAUGAAAGAUACCCAUGUUUCUUUGCAGGCUAGCAAAGAACUCGUUACUCACUGAGAAUGUGAGAGCACACAUUAACAUGUCCACAACAAGCUGUUGCGCUUUGUGUGGAGCUGCAGAUUCUUGGAGAUAGUCGCUGCUAGAAUGCAUAAUGGUGAGAUGUGUAUGGGCUCUUGAUGAGGGUGAGCUAGCGGAGCACAUGUGCAAAACAACGGAACUGAAUGCAAAGCAAUUGCUGUUUUCGAUGAUCGACACUCUUUCACAUGAGGCUUUUGUCAAGCUAUUUGUGUCCCUAUGGUGAUAUGGUGGGCAAGGAGACAGGUGAUGCACGAGGAAAUAUAUCAACCCCCUUCGGCUACACAUUAUUUUAUAAACAGGUUCAUUGCUGGACUUGAGAUGGUACCACAAAAACAUACAAUGACUCAGACCAGGCCUAUGAUCACAUGACCCAAGGCACCACCGCAGGGUUUUGCAAAAAAUACAUGUCGACGCUAGCGUGGCAACAUCUAGCUUCGGUGGCUCGGCAGUUGCAGUGUGCAGGGACGCUGGAGGUCUCUAUCUCGGAAGUUCUGCCCUGGUAGUGGAGGGAAUGACUAAUGUUGCAGCAUUAGAAGGAGUACUCCAUUAGAAGCAAUCGCAUGUCGUGAGGCGUUAUCUCUAGCCGAAGAUUAGUUUUUUCCAGAAAUUUGUUGUUGCAUGGGAUUCAAAACAGGUGAUUAAUGAUAUCGAGAAAGGAACUGGUAAGUGGUAACAGUUAUGGAAACAUCAUCAAGGAGGUCAAGCAGCGAGCAACCAGUUUAAUUGUAUUUUCAGCUUUGAAGGCCGAGCGGCGAAUGUAGAUGUAGAUAGACUAGCUAAGUUUUCAAACUUUCUCGAGCAUGGGCCACUUGUGGUUGGGUCACCCCAUGAUGAAUUUUUUUUUUUGAACUGCAGGAUGAAUUUUGUAUUCCACUCCUUGUGGAUUUUGAUCAGUAAAACUAAGCUUUUACCCCUGAAAAAAGCUAAAUUGCCUAAAAAACGAGACAGUAGCUAAAUCUCAAAAAAAAAAGGAGACAGUUUGAAAGAAGAAAUCCUAAUCCCUUCACGUACGGUAGCGGCACGCGCGUUCCUAUGAAAUGCAUAACUUGGCUGUACUACCGCCUCCAUGACUAAAUCGGCCGUAGCGGGACGGAUCGAUGGCGACGAGCGCCGUACGCGCAGACAGCGUGCCGACGACGAUGGACCGGAUUGGCCGCGCCCCGUUGUCACGGGAAUAUUUCCCCUCGCCCUCACCAGUCCCAUCACUCAUCGCCAUCGGCAUGCAUGCAGAUGCAGCGAUCUCGCUGUCCCGUACUCCGGUCUCCCGCCCUCCCCUUUUUCUUUCUUCCCGGCGAGCGCAGCGCAGCCAAUGGAUCAGGAAAAGAGAGGCGGGCGGGAUGGGAUGGGAUGGAGUACACGCCAUGACGAGGCCAUCUCCACCGCGCGAUCCCAAAUGGACGUCUGUUUUGACCGGAUUUUGUCCCUUUAGGGCGCCGAUGGGUUCGCCCGUAUCCGCCUCUGUCCGUUGGAUCGUGUGUGCGUCCACCGCGCGGCCCCAUCCCAAAUCAUGUCCGCGUUGGACAUGAUUUAAAAAUAUAGCAAAACGUAAUAAAAAUGACUUAAAAAGUAAAUAAGCGCAGUUUAAUAAACUUAAAACUUAGUUAGGGGGUCACGGCCACAAAACGUCCCAGUUUCACGUCGAACUUGACAUAAUUAAUAAUAAACAUAAAAAAGAAAAUAAAAAAGGCCGCCGCCAGCGCGCUCCUGCCCGUGCCCGUGGAUGCCGUCGCCGUCGCCAUCUUCAGUGGCCGGCAUCGUCGUCGUCGCUGACGAGGUCCACGUAGGCCGACGGCGUCCAGAGGUGGGCUGGCGGUGCGUGGUAGACGGGGGCGGGCUGGACGGCGGGAGGUGCCUGCACGACCUCCUCCCGUGGCGACGCCUCCCGCUCCGCUGACCGCGGCGGCGUGGGCCGCCAGUUCACGCACCCCAGGGCAUCGGCCAUCUCUUCUGCAGUGCACGACCAGCCCCACCCCUGGCCCACCAGGCCCGGGUGGAACGCGGCCACCGGCUCCUCCUCCAUCGCCUCCUCCCUCCUCUCCUCCUCCUUGACGGCCACCAUUUGCAGCUCGGGGAAGGUGACCUCGCCGGCGGCAGAGAGUGCCAUCGCCUCCUCCAAGCCGUCCCAUUGGCGCUCGUCGUGGGUGUACAUGGAGUCAUCCAUGACAUGUUGCACGAGCCGGGCCUCCUCCUCCGCUGUCAUGCGAGGAGGUGGAGGGGGUGACGGAGACGGGGAAGGCGACGGCGUGGGCGUGAGGCCGCGCACCUCCCGACGUGGCCGCCGUGGCCCCGACACCAUGCCGGCGAAGUAGGACGCGCGGCGCGUGUCGUGCUCGUCCUGGAGCCAUGUGUCCCAGAGCACCGAGUCGGGGGCGUACCUGUCGUCGUAGAACAGGUCAUCGGGGAGGAGGCGGCGGCGGCACUCGAUCUCAUCGCGGCGCGCACGGCCGCUCGCCGGCACCGGCGGGAUCGACACACGGUCGGCGCCGAGGUGCCAUCCAUUGGGGAGGUGGACGUCGCUUCACGGGACCGGCGUCCUCGUAUCCCAGUACCGCCGGCACACGUCCGCCGCGAGGUAGUGCCGGUCGUGCGCGCCGGCGGGCCUAGGGUUGAUGGUGAAGGGGGCCGGCGCGGGGGCUCGACGGGAGGAGCGCGGCGGUGACGCGGGCUCCUCCUUCUUCACGGAGCCGUGGCGGCGCCCCGAGGAGGAGCCGGCCUCACGGUCGUGCUCCCCCUUGCGGUUCCAGAAGCCCAUGGCUUCGAGGUGGCCGGCCGGCGAGCUCGAGGACAAUGGAGGGCUAGGGUUCGGCGCUGUCGGGUUUCGAGGAGGCCGCGGGGUGGCGUGGGGCAGUGUGGACGACGACCGGUCCACGGUUCCCACUUAAAGAAGGACGGCGACCCUUCGAUGUGCGGAUGACAGGUGGGGCCGCCCGCUCGUGCGCACUGAUGUGGGCGGGUGGGAGGUAGGUGACCGCCUGCCACGCGGACCCGACGCGGACGAGGCGCGCGUCCGUUUGGUGUCCGCCGCGACCCAAACCCGGCGCAAGUUUGCGCCCGAAAUGGGUCGGCCCGGACACAAAACGGACAAGAUGGGUCCGGGCCGUCGCGCACUGGGCCGCCUUGUUUGUCCUUUUUAUUCCAAACGGACGGGGCCGGACAGGAUAGGGUCACGCGGUGGAGUUGGCCUGACUGCCGGGUCAAACGUUCGUCAGUUAGGUGGACCACCAACCAAACCCCACGCGCACGCGGCGCCACUCCCCGGAGUCUCCCCGCUGCACUCGCUCGCUUGGAUGGAUCACCUUGCGCCGCGGCCACAAGGGAGCCGGACAAGAAGUUGAUGCACCACUAGGACUAGCUAGUGUCGGCUUGCAAGCACAAGAGCUUCUCCCGCUCCUGCCUUCUAGGCUUUUUGUUGCUCCGCUGAAAGGUGAGGUCACUUGUCAUCUACAGCCCGGGCUACCGAUAGAUCGGGGAACGAGUGCGCGUGGAAGGCAGGAAGUCAAUGUGGCGCCAGGCCAAAGCCCUCAACUUUUUCAGCAAAGGUAGAGCUAACUACUACAAUGAAUCCACCCGACGCAUAUUACACCGGCCAGAGGAUCGUCAAAAUAAUGCUCGUGAAAACAAAAUGAGAUUAGAUGCAGAAGUCGCACAUGCAUGAUGCACACAAAGAAAUUUCAACUCUCGUGGAGAAACACACGCGUUCGGAACAGAUUUCUACAACCUACACCAAGUGUAAAGUGUAAACGCUAGCGCAAGCUAGCUAUAGCUGUACAUGGAUCGAAGUCUAGGCUAUGCGAUGCCCUAGGACGGACGCCCGUUUCUACCAUUGGCAACGGGCGAGCAGAGCAGCAUCUCUGGAUACGUGAUCCUACAUACAAAGUCAAAGCCGGGCGGCAGCUCAAGGAGAAGAACAUGUGAAGAGACAGCAGCAGUAUCUCGAUCGUACCCAUUAAACAAACCCUAAGCCUUAACUAGUAAUCAAUGGCGAUCCACGUUUCGUGCUGCGUAUGCUACGUACGGCGGCUUUCUAUAUUUCUCGUCAUACGCACACUUGGUCGGAGCGAGGCUGUGAAUCCCGACGACGGCAAAUUCCUGGGUGCUCGCGUCGCGUGCUUGCCCCGCCCCGCCCGUGUAUUUGUCCUGUCCACCACCUGCACAUCGCUACAAUUCUGGGCUAGCAGGAGUAGUAUUUUUUGGAUAUUUUCGAUCGGGAAUCAAAUUAGGAGGCCUUACACGCAAGAGGAAGCAAGAUCAAUUUGGGUAAGUUAAGUGGCUUGACCGGUCAAAAAGAUCAUACCACAUGCAUGCCUUGCCUGCUACAGGGGAGAGGCGCGAAAAGGAAGCCAUGAAACAGUGGUGAGUCGUGGUGGAUGCCAAAAGGGUUAUGGACAAGGCCACAAGGGAUGUGAUCGAUGCAGCAAAAACGUACGCCAGGGGAGACAAAUACUUAUAUUCCGAGCAGUGGUUGUUAGGGAACAAGCAAGUACAAAUAGUAGUGUAUGUACAAGAAAAGCUAGCUGUAUAACACCAUCAUACUGAUACAGAAAACAGCAUAAUGAAAAGAGACAAAAAAUAAAGUUUAAUAUAAAACUCUUAAGAGGUGACAAAAAAUGAGAACAAGUUUAUGUCAGCUACAAAUAAUGAAUGAUUCUGGCUCCUACUGAAGGAAAAACUAUUCUCAAGUCCUCAACAGCUAGUGCUUCCUGCUCAAUCAUACAAGUUGAGUGACUUGAGUCCCCAGCAGAGAACAAAGCGCAAGCGCAGCUAGCUGCAGGGGCUGGUGGUCCAUUGGUGAGCAGUGAAGAGCCUCAAGCCUACACGCUAAAGAAGGAAAAGGCACCUAAAAGACAAAAGCUACUGCGUGCAUAAUGGUUGCUCAAUGAUUCCUGCAAGGACGAACAUCUCCAGUUUGCACUGUAAAGCAAAUCUAUUCAUGAUCGACUGCCCUGCAGAUCCUCUAUGAUUACUGACAACUAAUUGAGAUCAAAUGAGAUGGACAAACCAGUAGUAUAGAUUAUGUAUCUAUCUGCAUUGCAUUCCAAUAUUAUAUGACAAGAGAAGAGAGACACGAUUCACGUUCUCUUAGAUAACAUAGCUCAUCUUUUCAGGAAGACUAAAUCGCAAAUGCAAAUGCAAGGGUUAGAGUUGAAAGCACUGGCUGUAACAUACAAACACUGCACGUAGCUAGUUAAUCUUCAUGCAUGCUAAAGGAUGAAUUUAAUUACACAUAGUUAUAUAGAAUCUGAAUGGCCAUAUCGAUCUCUCGAUGAUAUAUAACAUCGAUGGAUCGGAUGGCCUUAAAAUUCGCAACGAAACGAGAUACAAAUAGUCUGAAGGUCGAACGAAGCGACCUAGAGCAGCGAGAACAAGGACAGCAAUUAGCAAGGAGAGGAAAGCGGAAACAAGUCGGAACUGAGGGAAAAAAAUUGCCUGGCUUUCCCGCAUGCCAAUACAGAACUCUCCACCAUUUUUCUGAGCUAAGCUUGCAUGGAUGCCUCCAUGCCUUUGCCCUGCGGAAGAACCGAGACGACGACGGAGACGAAGACGAAGACGGGGACGAAGAGGUCACCGGAGCGGCGUCCGCGGCAUGCGGAACGACCAGCCAUGGUGGAGAGGGGAUGGCGGGGGCUUGAAGGGGAUGGUGGCAUUGACAUCCUCUUCGUCCUUCUUCAUGUCCCGCGAUGAGCUGAGCUGCUAGCUAGUAGCACAAACAAAACACAAGCGUAAGAGAGAGGGAAGAGGGGCAGGUUCCUUUGGGCUACUAUAUGCAAAACGCAGAGGAUUAGAAUAGCAGAGGUUUUUAAAC
rnacentral:lncRNA from 1 species